rnacentral:lncRNA from 1 species
AGCUACUCUUGCCUGCUAAUAUAGAUAUUCUGCCUUUAAAUAUUGGACUUCAUCGUGACCCUCACUUUUGGGGAAAUGAUGUGCAUCAUUUUAAACCUAAGAGAUUCGCUGAAGGGAUUGCCAAAGCUACCAAUUACACCGCGGCUGCCUUUUUCCCCUUCGGAUUAGGACCUCGAUCUUGUGUUAGUAUGACAUUUGCAAUGAUAGAAACCAAGAUUGCUCUCUCCAUGAUUCUACAACGCUACACCAUUAUCCUUUCCCCUGCUUAUGUCCACUCUUCAAUACUUAUUCUCAACUUUCAACCCCAAAAUGGAAUUCAAGUAAUACUUGAGCCGAAUACAUAGUAAUGCUUGAAGUACAUAGCCGUUAAGAACUAGAGGUUUAACAUGGUUCAUGUAUUUUACUUUUAAGAGAUGAUAUUUAAUAUGUUUAAAGGUUCUAGCAUUCAUCAUUAAAGACAAACGACUUGUGGCCAUGUUUACUUUUUAUCUAUCAUGCAAUGUCGAUAAGAAGAUAUCAUUUACCUUUUAGUUGGGUUAUGAAUUCUACUAUUGUGAAUGAUGUUACAUACUAUACAAGUUCUAUACCCAAUGCACCAACUUUCGGUUCUUUAUCUAUUUGAACUUAGCCUUUUACUUGCAUCAAAGUAUACGAGUCAUGCUUGUAUAGUCCACCAUCCACUCAAGAUUAAGGUAUAUCACACAAUGAACAUCACAAGUAAAUAGAUCCAUAAAUGGAUCUAGAAUCUAUUCUACUUGGGUCUUUUCUGAUGUAUUGUCAGUCCAGUCAAUCACAUCUAUGUCUUUAUCUUUUAGGAGUUAUCUGUUCCAUUUAAGACAAAGCAUCUCCACAAUUGGGUUUGAUAGACGACAUCUUAGUUUUUCAAUCGAUUUGCUCAAUUUUGAUUAGACUAAGGACAUAUUUAGGUUUAUAUACUAAUACAAGCUAUCUUUCCAUAUCAAGAUCUGACCACGUAAUACCGCUUAGUAUUAAUUUAAACAAUAGAUAACCAAUGAGCCAAUAUUUGCUUCCAUUUUGCUUUGUGUGCAAAAACAUUGAGGACAAUAUGCAAAGGGUAUUAAUGUAAUUAAUAGAUAUUAUUAAACCAAUUUGUUUGAAAAAUACAAUUAUAUAAAACGAAUAUAGUACACUUAGUGUACCAAAUCCAACAAUGGCCACUACAGCUAGCAUUGCCAUAAGCAACAUAACUUGACAUUUUUGGAGUUGAAAUCUUUUUAACAAAAUCAGUUGGGCAACGACUUAGAUGAUUUUGUGGACAUGUGUUGGCUCAUAUUUGAAGAUCCAUUUUGUGGAGCAAUCAAUCUGUUAAGAUUAAAUCAAUCUGAAUCAAGCAAAUCGGAUCACUUAUUUUGUGGAGAUUGGCUUGACUUAUUUUAAAAUUUAUUUUCGAAAUCUUUGAUUUAUUCUUAACUUUCAGGAUAUUUGUAAAAUUUGAUAACACUCUAGAAUAACGUAUUUUUAUGUAUUAAUUAUGUAUUUAUUUUGAAUAUGAUCCUGCUAAUUUGAGCUAUUUAUGAUAUUUUAUCUCAUAGGGACUAAAUUUGAGACAAAAGCAAAAUUAAGGGCCAAAAGUGUGAAUUUAGAGAUAAAAUGGGCCAAUGUGCGACACAAAUAAAAGUUGGUGCCAAAAGUGCAAGCAUGGAGGACACAAGGGUUGAAAUGCAAAAAAAAGAGAUUUUAUUCUAUCAAACUCUAUUUUAAUUAUAUUAGGAUAAUUAAUAUUAAGAUAAUUAUUAAGGAUUAUCUAAUUUUAGGAUUUUAUUUUAUUUAUCUUCAAUUAAAUGUAUUUAUCUUUUGGAGUUUAAGUAGGAUUAGACUAUCUCCCCUAGCACUAUAAAUAGGGGUAAAGUAACUCAAAAAUGAUGUAAACACUCUCUCCCCCAAAAGUCUAGGCUUUUGUUCUCCUCAUAUUUCCUUUCAAUAAAAUCUCUAUUUUUAUUUUAUUUAUUUUCUUUUUCACCACAACCAUGAGCCACUAAACUCAUCUAGCUGAAAGUUGUCGAUAUUUUCCAAAAAGGGUUCUCGAGGCCUAGAGUCCGUACUUAGCCUCCUCGCUGAGUAUUCAUUGUUUCUCUGCACUACGGGGCUGACGCUUCCGUCCAUGUCCCUUAAGAAGUAAGAUUUUCAAUGUAUGCAAAGGCGACUGCUUUGUAUGUUUUAGGAAGAUUGCAUAGUCAAUUCGUUAACUUACUGCGUUAGAGGUUAGUGAGCCCAAGAGACAAAAUGGCAUGGGAUUCACCAUUGAGAAUCGCUGAUCUAGCAUAAGACGAUCCCAUAGAAGCAAUUGUUGGCUAGAGUCAGGUUUCACUAAAUCGUAAGUCUAAAUCCUUAGAGCUGGUGGUCGUAGGCGUCCUCUUCCACUAUAACUGGCUUAUUCGGUUUAGGAAGGAUCAUCUAAAAGUUGAGGAUUGAACCCAAGGCGGAACGAGAAAGCUGGAGGUUAGAAUCUCCCAUAAGAAUUUUCUUUCUCUUAACUUUAUUUUUAAUUUCUCGAAUUUUUGAUUCAAUAUUCUUAAUUUUGUUUUUAUUUUAUUUUUCGUUUCCAGACCCAAACCUUUAAUUCUAUUUUUUUUAUUUUUUUUCCAGGAACGCAGGUUUUCUCGGGAAAGAUUCUGCCUGGGAUUUCACAAAAUAAGAUAUUGUGCAAAUCCAGUCCCUAAGGAUUUUACCUUACUUUCCUUUUACUAUUCUUUUUCAUUAUUUAUUAGGGAUAGGAUAUUUUUUGUGCUUUCAACAACCGCAUUAGUAAAGUUUUUUUUACGAGGCUAUUUUUUGUGGGAUAUUGAUUCGAAUUGAUCUUUAUCUUUGCAAACAUUAAAUUCUUAUAUAUUAGAGGCUUGUGUAAGUUAAAAUAAGAUAGAGUUUCUAUUGCACUUAUUUUUUUCAUUGAGGAACUUGUAAUUGAUAGUGCAUUAAGAGUGUAAAAUAAGUUUGUUGCUUGGUUUUACAGCCAAAAUUCUCAAGGGAAGAACUUAGUGGUGAAUGAUUUAGAUAUUUAGAUACAAAAGUGAGGUUGCUAUACCGAGUUGUGAUAGGACUUAAAUAACUUGUUGUCUUGGGAUUAAAAAUAAUGGAUUUACUCAUUAAGUUAGGUUCCAUAGACAUAGAAAAAUCGAUAUGCAUAAACAAUCAUUUGUGUUCUAUUUUUUGUUGUUGUGUUCAUCAUAGUGGCAUCAAAGGUUGCCAUUACAACCAUCACUUUGUCAUCAAUUACUCACUUUAUUUUUUUAAGCAAUUAUCAACUACAUGCGCCAAGAGAAUGCUUGUUUCCAGUACUAUUGAUCAAAAUUUUGUAGGAAGCAUAAUGACAAAAAAGGAAAUGAUUACAAUCAACCCCUUAUGUAACAAUUCCAUUUGUAUGUUUGCAUGUUAUAAAAUGGUGGUUGUUAUAUACUACAACAUGUUGUUAUAAAAAGAUAAUUAUUGUAAACCUAAAAUAGAAUUUACAUUGCGAAUUACUAUCAUAUAAAGAAGGUGGGAAUUAUAUUAAAAAAGGAAAGUAGAAACCAAUUCAACAAAAUUAAAAGAUGUAUAAUAGGUGCAUGCAUUAUUACCUUUAUAUUUUAUUUUACAUUUUUCACAUGAUUAAUCGAUAUGAGUUUAAAUUAAAUUAAUUAAUUUAUCAUGUGUCAUUAAAUUCAAGUAAUUAAUUUAUAAGAUUAUGAUGUUCCAAAUUUAUAGUAGAAUAUUUAAUUAGAGAACUUAAUAGUUUAUUGAAUUGAUAUCUUUAAUUCCACUCAUUGAAGAUUUUGUCAUGUGAAAUUUAAACAUUUUAUUAAAAUAAUAUUUUAUGAUUGUUUAUGAUAAACUUAGGAUUUUUAAUAGUGUUUAUAUAUGUAUUAUGUUAAGAUACAUAAUGAUAAAACUAGAGUUUGUGGUAUGUUUUGAGAUGAUAGGCUUCACGAUUAUGUGAUUUAUUGUCCUUAGCUAAUUCAAAUAUAGAUUAAUGAGGUUGGUUUAAUAUAUGUUGUAGGGAACAACGAAAAUGGGAAAAAAUUAAAUAUUACCCUAAAACAAAUUGAUAAUUAAUAUAGUUAAAUUAAAUCCAUUUUGUUUUGGCAAAUGAAAAUCAUUGGUUUAAAAGGUUUGAGAAUUGAGGAACCUUUGCAAAACAUAAUGCGAUAUCAUCACUGUUUAUAGGAGCUGAGUAUAAAUAUUCUCUUUUCAUGUCUUUGUUGUUGGGUUUUUAGGUCUUUUUGUGACAAUUAUCAUUCCUCUCAUUUCAAUAUUUAUGAUAAUAAUACCUGUAAAGCACGUUGGUCAUGUCUUAUUUUUACUAUUUAUGUAAACAUGAUUCCCGUAUAAACUAUACUAAAAUUCGUAUUAUUGUAGUACUUAUUAUUAAAGUUUCAGUCCUGUGACAAUUGGUAUUGGACUGAGAUUUGAAGCUACCAGUUGAGAUGACAAAAGGAGUAGAAGAGCAGAUUGAACCCAGAGAGACCAUGGGAGGGGCAGGAGCUAUUUAUAUAUUUUUGAGAUGUUGAUAUCUUCCAGAGCCAUUUAUGACCACACACGAUAAUGGGUAAGAUAGGGUCCUACCUGACUUAUGGUUUAUCUGUUUUGAAGGGGGAAAUGGUUUUGUUUUAGAGAAGAAAAAUGAAUGCGUUGAUGAAACUUCUAAUUCUUGCUCCAUGUUUCUUCUUCAUAGCUUUAAUAAAGUUACUUUACGAUUACCUAUGGAUACCUCUCCGUAUUCAGCAUAUGCUGAAUUCACAGGGGAUCAAAGGACCUCCUUACAGAUUCAUCCAUGGCAACAACAAGGAAGUUACCAAAAUGAAACAAAAAGCUUUAAGCAAAUCUGUGGGCUUGACAGAUGAUCUAUUUCCCAGAGUACAUCCACAUUUUUACACCUGGACCAACAGAUAUGGUAAGAUCCAUGCCUGUUCUUUCACUAUGAUUUAUAACUUGUAGUUCUAAGAAAAGGUAGACCCUUUUUCUUUUCAUGUUAUUAGGGAAGAAUUUUGUUUAUUGGAACGGUGCUCGAGCUGAAUUGGUGAUUUCAGAGCCUGAAUUAAUCAAAGAAGUUCUGAAAAAUAGUGAACAAAUUUUUCAGAAAAAGCAGCUUUCAGAUAUCGGUAUGAAGUUCUUGGGGAAUGGACUUAUAUUCAUUGAGGGGGAAAAAUGGGCAAAGCAUCGAAAGCUAGCCAAUCACACUUUCCAUGGGGAAAGCCUAAAGGUAAGUCUUCCAAAUAUAUAAACUAGAUGUAAUUAAUUUACAAGAAUUAUACAUAGACUACAAUAUUUUGGUAAAAUUUUGCAUUCUUAGCUAAUUUAUUAUCGAAGUUGAAAAGAUUCGUGAAAAGUAAUUUUGAAAAAUUUGACAGCAUUUACCACUUAAGAUAUCAAUUUUAGAUUUAAUGUUGUAAAGUAAAAAAUAAUUCAGAGAUUUAAAAAAGAAGUCAUUUCAUUGAAAAACACUAUUUUAACUUUUUGACUUAGAUUAAAAUCUAAUUUGAAAUAAAGUUUAGUUUGAAAUUUUGUUUGUUUGCGAAUUUUUCUAAGUUGAAAUCAUGAUUUUGUGUUGAAAAGUGUUUUUCAGACUCCAAUUAUAUAUGUCACUACUACUUACAUAUUGGAGGAUUGUUUCCGCAGAACAUGACUCCAGCAAUAAUUGCUAGUGUUGAAACAAUGCUAGAAAAGUGGAAUGGCCAAGAAGGAAAAGAGAUUGAAGUGUACCAAGAAUUUAGGUUAUUAACUUCAGAAGUGAUUUCCAGAACAGCAUUUGGUAGCAAUUACAUGGAAGGGGAGAAGAUAUUUGCCAUCUUGAGAAAGUUGACAGUAAUUAUGAGUCGAAAUCUUUCCAAGACUAGAAUUCCUUUGAUCAGGUAUCUUCCCUCUACGCUUAAUUAAUCCCAACUUUUACCUUGAUUUCAACUAGCUUUUGAAUGCAACUUUUAGACUUUCAUUCCCCAUUGAUUUGGUUUUCUCCUUAUAUAUAGCUGACCCUGGUUUGCUUUUGCAGCAAGUUGUGGAAAUCUGCUGAUUUGCUAGAGGCUGAAAAACUUUCAAAAGAAAUAAAAGAUCGUGUGAUGAAGAUUGUUAAGAAAAGAGAAGACAAAGUUGUGAAUGAAGAAGUCAAUAGCUUUGGCAGUGAUUUUCUUGGAUUACUUCUAAAUGCCUAUCAUGAUUCGGAUGCGAAAAACAGGCUUUCCUUGGAAGACGUGGUAGCUGAAUGCAAAACAUUCUAUUUUGCUGGACAAGAAACUGUUAAUUCCUUACUUGCAUGGAUAGUCUUGCAUUUGGCAAUCCACGGAGAUUGGCAAGAAAAAGCGAGAAGAGAGGUGAUUGACAUAUUUGGUAACCAAAAUCCACAUCUCGAAGGCAUCGCGAAACUCAAAAUAGUAAGAAAACUAUCUAACUGGGAAUUCAAAUAGCCAUCAACAUUAUGCAAUCUAACAUAUUUGUCUAUUUCCUAAACAGAUGACCAUGAUCAUCAAUGAAACUCUAAGAUUGUAUGGUCCAUCAAAUGGCCUGGCAAGAGCAGUUACAAGAGAAGUUCAGUUGGGAAAACUACUCUUGCCUGCUAAUAUAGAUAUUCUGCCUUUAAAUAUUGGACUUCACCGUGACCCUCACUUUUGGGGAGAUGAUGUGCAUCAUUUUAAACCCGAGAGAUUCGCUGAAGGGAUUGCCAAAGCUACCAAUUACACCACGGCUGCAUUUUUUCCCUUCGGGUUGGGACCUCGAUCUUGUGUUGGUAUGACAUUUGCAACAAUAGAAACAAAGGUUGCUCUCUCCAUGAUUCUACAACGUUACACAAUUACCCUCUCCCCUGCCUAUGUCCACUCUCCAAUACCUAUUCUCACCCUUCGACCACAACAUGGAAUUCAGGUAAUACUUGAGCCGAUACAUAGUAAUGCUUGAAGUACAUAGCUGCUAAGAAAUAAGGGUUUAACAUGGUUCAUGUAUUUUAGUUUUAAAAGAUGACAUUUAAUAUGUAUAAGGUUCUAGCAUUUGCAACCCCUUCCCUCCUAUGGUGUGCCCACCUUCAUACAUAAUGAAAUGCAAGUAGCUACUUAUUUCCAAGAUGCUAAAACACACAAUCAAUAAAGAAGAAUAUGUCGAGGCAAGUUUUGGGAGCAGUGACUCGAGAAAUGACAACUGCGUUUGGCACGCGCAGGUCACAUAACUUUUAGCAUGUUUGAAAAAAAAUAUUUUGAUUACUUGCUUGCAUCUUUUUUAGGAUUUUGUGCAUCCAAUCUUGUGUUUAUUAUUUAAUUAAUCUCAGAUUGAUUUUUCUUAAACUAGUGGUUAUACUAAGGCUUGUUAGCGGAUUAAACUUUGUGCAAAACACUAUAGAUGUAGAUGUGUUUCCCGUGAUGGGAUUUGUAUCUACUAAAAAUAAAUUCCUACACUUGAAACCAAAAUUAAAUUUGUAGUAUAUAGAGUAGGGUUGAUCCCACAAAGGUUGAUCUAUCCAAAUUUCUAUUUCUUUAUAACUAGAACGUGUCCCGAGCAGUUUUUAUGCCCAUGACUUGUGCCAACCUAUACGAAAAACUAAGGGGAAUUAAAUCUGAAAAAUAAAUAAACAACAAAAAUAAAUUAAUAAUUAAAAUGAAGUAGAAAUAAGUAAAAUGAAAUUAAAAUUGAAUAAACCGAUAAAACAAAAGCUUUAGCUUCAAGCUCGAUUUUGACUUAGUCUUCAAACUGAUCACGGAGAAUGAAUUUUUUUUCCUUUAAUUAAUAAGUCAAUUAUAGAUGCCAAGGAACGAACCUCAAAGCACCUAAUUCUUCCAUAGUGGUAAAUUAAUUGCGGGAACAGCUCGACGGCUAAGCCUUAUCAAGUGAAUAACCUUGAAAGUAGCAUUGGUGAUUUAAUUCAUUGGUAGCCUUGCAAACUAAAAGAACCUGACUCAAAUCAACGGCCUCAAUUGUAUGAGUCAUUUAAACUUAAUUAUUAACUUCUUUGAUGGAUCCAACCACUCACGCCAUUUGUCAUGUCAAUUUGUAAUUCAGUGGAUCUAAUACAACAAUUACGGAUAGCAUCGAUUCUCUAACUUUAUGUCGUUCAACACUAAACCAAGGGACUCUUCUUGAUUUUGAUGCUAAAAUAACAUUGAGAAGUGAUCAAGUUUAUCUUUUAAAUUGGAGAAUUAACGAAUACCGAAAUGGAGAAUAUAAAUACGAUUUUAAAAGUUCACUGUUCAAAUAUUGGAUCAAUUAUCAAUCUAAAACUAGGUUAAAUUUAACAUCUCAUAAAUUAAAAAACAAGAAAAGAAAAUAGUUGAAGGAGAAUAUUUAAUUGAAAUUAAAAAAACACUAAAAUAAAAUCAAAACAAUAGUUAAAUGAUGAAGUUGCUUUGAAACUGGAGUUACCAUUUUCGUUGGAGGAGAUAACAGAGGCAGUGUGGAGUUGCGAUGAGUCGAAAGCAUCUGGGUCGGAUGGCUUUAAUAUGUGCUUUUUUAGAAAAUGUUGAGAUGUUGUAAAAGAGGAACUUUUUAGAAUGAUGUUAGACUUUUUUAGAUCUAGAAAGCUUGAGAGGAGCAUAAAUUCUUCAUUUAUUGCACUCAUAUCCAAAAUCGAAAAUCCAAAUAAAAUAUUAGAAUUUAGACCAAUUUUUUUGGUGAGCUUGUUGUACAAGAUAGUGGAAACGGUGUUAUCUCGAAGAAUUAGGGAGGUUGUUGGAGAGGUAGUGAGUGAAACACAAUGUAAAUUUACCAGAGGUAGACAAAUAUUCGAUGGAACUUUAAUUGUAAAUGAAAUUAUCCAUUCGAUUAAAAAGAAAGAUGGUAUUGGGGGGCAAUCUGAUUUUUAAACUAGAUUUUUCUAAAGCAUAUAUAUGAUUGUGUUUGUUGGGAUUUUUUGGAGUUAGUUUUACUCAAGAUGGGAUUUGGCGAGAAAUGGAUAGAAUGGAUUAUGGAGUGUGUAUCUAUGGCGAGAGUAGCAGUAAUUAUCAAUGGGUCAACCAAAAAUGAAUUCAGAUUCCGCCGAGGUCUCCAUCAAGGAUAUCCGUUAUCCCUAUUUUUAUUUAUCCUAGUGACGGAAGUGCUACAUUUCUCGAUGGAUAAAGCAGUGGAGAUGGGACUAAUUUAGGGCAUUCAAGAUGUUAUUCCCGUGUAGAUUUUUUCUCAUUUACUAUUCGCGAACGAUACUAUACUAUUCUUGAGAGCAGAUGAAGAUGAGGUGAGAAAUUCGAAGUAUAUUUUAUGGUGUUUUGAGAUCUUUUCAAGUCUUAGUAUCAAUUUCAAAAAAUCAUGUUUAGUAGGAUUUGAUGUGAAUGAAGAACUCUUAUAUCAAAUGGCUACAAUAUGUAAGUGUAAGAUAAGGUUUUUGCCUUUUAAUUAUCCAGGGAUUCUAUCGGGAGCAAAUCUGAGGAGAGUAUCCACUUGGGACGCAAUUGUAGAGAGAUUCAAGAAGAAAUUAUCGGGAUGGAAAUGUCGUCCGCUCUCAUGGGCUGCAAGGAUUGUAUUGAUUAAUGUUGUUUUGUCUGCCUUGCUAAUUUAUUUCAUGUCUAUAUUCCAAGCUCCAGUGACAGUUAUUAAAAGGAUCGACAAGAUAAGGAUAAAUUUUCUUUAGAGGAGUAUAAAUGGUAAAAGGAAGAUGGCAAAGGUAAGCUGGAAACAUAUAUGUAAGCCAAAGGAGAAGGGAGGAGCAGGAGUGGUGAAUCUCAUAAUUAAAAAUAGAGCUUAUUAGCAAAAUAGAGUUGGAGAUUCGCGGUUGAAAAAGACGCGCUGUGGCGAAAACUCAUCCUAGCAAGGUAUGGUUAGCGCACGCAACAGUGGCGCUUUAGGACGACUAAUCUAAAAAAUAUGUCGAUUGUAUGGAGAGGUAUUGUAGAAAAUUCUAAAGACGCUAAUUGUAAUACCCCUAACCCUUAUCCAUCACCAGAAUAGGGUUAUAAAGCUUUACCAGACUUUUCAAAAUCAAACACGAUCAUUUCAUAACAUUUAGUAUACAUAUUAAAAACUAUUCAUAUAAUACUCAUAUUGUCCCUUAUAUAGGCCCUCAAGGCCCAAAAUACACUUUAGAAGUGAGUCGGGAUUAAACCGGACACUCUAGAAAUUUUUCGCGAAAUGUCAAAAUUUUCCUUAGAAAUAAGGAACACACGCCCGUGUGGCCAAGCCGUGUGGCUCACAUGGCCUGAAGACAUGCCCAUGUCCUAAGCCGUGUGGGCAUUCAAUGUGAGGCACACGGCCGAGUCCCAGCCCGUAUCCUUACCCGUGUAAUUCUCUGACUUGUGUCACAUGGCCAACCACACGCCCUUGUGCUAGGCUGUGUGCAAAGUACAGGGGUCACAUGUCUGUGUGCUAGGUCGUGUGUAAAAACCUAGGCAUUCUGUUUUGAAAUUUCAAGGUGCAGGGGACACACGGCCAGAUCACAUGCCCAUGUGCCAAGCCGUGUGUCACACACGGCUGAGACACACGCCCGUGUCUCUGCCCGUUUGGACGAAAAUAGGCCAUUUUAAGGCCACUUUUCUCACCUUUUUUGACAUCAACCUAUAGACAGCAAUUCAAUAUACCAAAUAUCCCUAAUCAAGCAAUAAACACAAGCCAAAAAUCAUGUUUUAAGCAUAAUAAGCUAUCACGAAAUUCAAUUGUCUAAAUUUGCCAAACUAACUUCAUUCAUUGAUUUACCAAAACCUACUCCUAGCUAUAUACAUACAAACACACGCAUAUAUAUAUAAUUGUCAUUCAUAAUUAUACUCCAAGUAUAGCCUUUUUCAAUCCAUCCCUAUACAUGCCGUAUAAACCAUAAAAUGUACAACAAAAUCUACCGGAGUAAUCUAGAUAGUGUGACCCGAUGUGUUGAUUCGAACUUCUUGAAAAUCUACAAAGAACAUUAAACAACACAAGUAAUCUUAAUGAAGCUUAGUAAGUUCGUUGGCUUAAUACAUAAAUCUUACCGAACAUACCAUGACAAUUCAUUUAAGUAAAUCGUUCAUUACACAUUUCCUGCCAACUACAACUUUAAUCGAUGAAUUCGCUUCUUUGAGCUCAAUAUCAAUAAUAACCUAAAUUCUUCCACAUUAAUUCCAUAUAGCACUUGCCACUUCUUGUCAAUCAAAGAACGAUUUACGGAUUUGAGUACAUCGUAAACAAAAGCCCAAAGGUUGCACGAAAGAACAUAAGUGCUAAACUGAAACCUAUAAGGGUUGAACGAAAGCUCAUAAGAGCUAAAUGGAAACCCAUGAGGGUUAAACUGAAGCUCAAAAGAGCUGAACUAAAACUCAAAAGGGUUAUACUAAAGCUCAAAGAGCUAAACGGAAACCCAUUAAGGUUAAACGGUAACUUGUAUAAGUUAACUAAAGCUCAUGAGAGCUAAACGGAAAGUACACACGAAAUUUUGCAACAAAUGCUGAACCUUGAUUUACUUGGGUAAUUUACCGUCAAUUCCUCAUUUACACAGAACGACCUUACUCAAUCCGGCAUUCUGUUUGCUUCAAACAUUCAAUUCAAUUUCAUAACUUUAACAAUAAUAUUAUUUUCAACAAAUGACAUGAAUAAAUACAUAAUGUCAUUCAUCAAUUUAACAGUUAACAUUUAAAUUUAACCAUACGAACUUACUUGGGCUAAAUUGUAGAAUUCGUAGUAAUUCGGGGACUACUCAGCUAAUUUAUCUUUUUCACGAUUUUCUUCAGGCUCUUGAUCUAUAAUAUAAAAUUGUUCAUUUCUCAGUAUCUAAAUCAAUUCUAAUUCAUUUCAGAACUUAUGCCCUUUAAUUUUUGAAAUUACACAUUUGCCCCAACUUUUACAUUUUUUACAAUCUAGUCCCUCAUCAAUUUACCCAUCAAUUAAGCUAAUUUUUCUCAAUUAACACUUUAUCUAAUUAUUUUAAGUUACCAUAUACCCUUGAUAUUUAGAAUUUUAACACCAAACCCUAAUUCUUAACCUUUUUACAAUUUGGUCCUAAUAUCAAUAUCUAUCAAAAUUACUUAUUAAAAUCAUUAUAUAACAAAAUUAAAGCUUAAAUUCCAUGAUAAUUCAUCAUAAAAAUCCAUCAAUCAUCAAUGGUAACUUUUGAAAUUACCCAUAGAAUCAAAAACUAAUGAAAUAAGUAGUCGGACCUAAUUGUAAAAGUCUCAAAAACACAAAAAUUUCAAGAAAAGAGCAAGAAUUAAACUUACAUGAAGAUAAAAUAUGAAAACCAGCCUUGAGAGCUUUUCAAUGGUGUUUUUGGCUAAAGAAAAGUGAAGAAAUGUCUAGAGAUUCAAUUUAGUCCAAUUUUAACUAUUUAAUUUUAUUUCUUUUCCAAUUUUGCCCCUUGUUCACACUUAUCCUUUGAUUUUUUUCUGCUUGUACCGUCCAAGCCUUUCACUUUGGGCUAAUUUUCCCUUUUAGUCCUCCCUUAUUAAACACUUAAGUUAUUUAAUCAUUUUAGCAAAUUUUGCACAUUUUUCAAUUUAGUUCUUUUUAAUUAAUUAACCAUCAAAACGUUAAAAUUUUCUAACAAACUUUUGAUAGUAACUCAAUGACACUCCGUAAAUAUUUCUAAAAUUAUUUACAGCUCAGUUUAUAAAUUUUAGGCCUCGAUACCUCGUUUUCAAAACCACUUUUCUUAAAAUUCUUCUAAAACACAAACCACCAAAUCAAAAAUCUUUCUAAAAUCACACUUGACUCGUAAAUAAUAAUUAAUAAAAUUUUCAAACUCACUCGUCAGAUUUAGUGAUCUCGAAUCACUAUUUUUGACACCACUAAAAGUUGGACUGUUACACUAAUGUUUCUAAAUGGGUGGGGAACAAAGCUUUUAGAUGGAUGGUUGGGAAUGGAAGGAUGGCGAUGUUUUGAGAGGAUAUUUGGUGUUGUAAUCAACCACAAAAAAAAAAGAAUUUCCUAGAGUUUUUCGCUUAGCAAGAAAAAAGAAAGGUAUGGUAACAGAUUACUCGAGCAACAAUGGUUUCAGCAAUAUGAAUUACGGUGAAUUCUAACGAAGCUUUUAGAUGGAUGGUUGGGAAUGGAAGGAUGCGAUGUUUUGAGAGGAUAUUUGGUGUUGUAAUCAACCACAAAAAAAAAAGAAUUUCCUAGAGUGUUCCGCUUAGCAAGAAAAAAGAAAGGUAUGGUAACAGAUUACUCGAGCAACAAUGGUUUUAGCAAUGUGAAUUAUGGUUAAUUCUUUACACGAACAUUAUUGGAUAGAGAGGUUGUGAUGCUUCGUAGAUUGGAGGAUAUGGUGAAAAGCAUGGAGUUAGUUCUAGAGGUGAAGGAUCAGCUAAAUUGGGUGCAUGAUAGUAAUGGGGAGUUCACGGUAAAGAAGUUAUCUAACUUAUUAAUUAAGGUUGGAGGGGAAGACAUAAGUUUUGCUUUUGAAAAAAAUUGGAAGUUAAAGGUACCACCGAGAGUGCGAAGUUUUCUAUGGAUGCUUGCUAUUGAUAGAUUCCUACAAAUGAAUUUCUUGUUAAAAGAGGGGUAUAGCUUCAACACAUUUCAAUCAAAUGUGCAUAGUAUGAAAGAGUACCAGAGAGAGCAGAUAAUCUAUUCUUCAAAUGCAAAUAUAUUGAAGGGUUUUCGUAUAAAUUUUUCAAAUGGUGGGAGGUUGAAUGGAAAUCGGUAGAACGAUUUGCUAAUUUUAUUCUUUGUGUUAUAAUGUGAAAUUGUUAGGAAUCCGAAGAAUGUUAUGGUUGCUAUCAAUUUCGGCAGCUUGCUGGUCAGUGUGGACAGAAAGAAAUGAAAUUGUCUUCGAAAGAAAGGUGAUGACUAUGGAAGCUUUGAUAUUUCAAUCCAAGAUGAGGGCAAUGUUGUGGAUAAGGGUUGUAUAUGAUGAGUUAAUGGUGCAGGAGAGCUCUUGGUGGAUUUGUCCGAACAAGUGCAACUUUAAUACAAUUAAACCAGAUCCUCUUCGUCGAUAUGGCGCCUUCCUCCACAAGGCUAUCUGAAUUUCAAUGUAUGCGGGAUAGUAAAUGAGAAAGUUGCAGGUUGUGGUGGAGUACUAAGAGAUAUGGAGGGUGUUGCAAGAGCUUUAUUUUCGGGUCCUAUUGCAGCUAAUGACGCAGAUUCAGUAGAGGUAGAGGCAGUGUUUAUAGCAUUGGAUUUGUUGUUAUCCAUGGGAUGGAAGAUUAAUAGCUCUCUUAUUGUAGAAAUUAGUUCAAAAAUGGUGUACAAUUGGUGUCUGAACAAGAAUAUGAGACUGUGGUCGUUACAAACAACAUUUUCAGAUAUUGAAAGGAAAAUUGAGCAGGUUGGUAGUGUAGUAUUCUUGAUGGCAGAUCAAAAGGUAAUGAAAUGGCUUCAACCUUGGCGAUAGUAGGUAUUAAUCGUGGUGACAUGUUUAAAGCUUGUUAGUGAGUAUUAGCUUUGAUUUCGAAUAAUAGUUUUCAAUUGUAGGAAAUGUUUCAUUGUGGUAUUUUGUAAGUUGUACCUUUGAAUGUUGUUCUUGUUGUAUUUACAAUAGAUUAGUUUGAAUGAAGCAAAAAAAAAGUUGGUGGGUACCGUGUGCCCCCUCUCUUCACGCCUUACUAUAUAAUAAUAAUAAUAAUAAUAAUAAUAAUAAUAAUAAUAAUAAUAAUAAUAGACAAGCUUAAGAAUAUAAAAAGCCUUUACUCAUUGCCUAAGAUAAAAUUUAAUCCUCAUUAAUAUCUUAAAGAGAAAUCUUUCUAAAUAAUAAUAAUAAAAUAAUCCUAAAUUUUAAAUGUCUUGUAUGUCAACUUCUCAAUCCAACGAUAAAUUUACUUUUUUAUAUUGUACUCUAACACUUCGAACAUGCGCUAUAUUUAUAUAGAAAAUAGUCAAUAAAAUACCAAAGUAGUAACAUCCAUGUCCAAAAUUAAUCAGAAUAAAUCAUUAAAAAAAUGUCUAUUAAGAACAUUAUCAAAUCCCCCCUUAAUCAAUACUUGCCCUUAAACAUUUUAUGCAUUCAUCAUCUAAACAUAUCACAAUCAUCAAAGCCAAUUCAAUUUUCACAGUCCUUAGUUCAAUAAAAAAAAUAAGCACUAUCAAAAUUUUAACCCUACAACCGUCUCGCUCAAGCAAGCACAUAGAUUAACAAUUUAUGAUAAGUGCUAAAAGUAACAUAUUUUAACCUCGUUCUAUAACAUCUCAAAAUUGGGGGUUAGAAGUUUUGAGGUUUGUAGUGAGGGUCAGCGAGUAGGUCGAACAAUUGGUUUUAUUUUCGCUUUUUAAUAUCAAAAUGAGCUUGUUGGUUUGAUGGUAGAGUAUGUUACUAGUUUCCCUUGGACGAGUGUUUGAAUCCCAAUGUGAGAAUAAAGGAAGUUUUGUUUUAAUUUUAUUUAUAUUUUUUAUUUGAAAAAAAUAGAAGAAAAUCCUAAAAAUUUCUCACGUUCUCCACUUUCUCUUUCACAUCAGUCUCCCUCUUUCGGUAAAGAAAAAUUAUAGAUUCUGAUUUUCUUUCUUUUCUUUAUUGGGUUUCAAUACUUUUGUAAACCGCUGCCUUAAAAUCCUGGUGGUGCUUUUGUUCUUCGUUUGAUCAGACGUCGAAUAGGUUUAUUCGGUUAAUACUUGGUAAUUUGAUAUAAAUUUUAGGUCGAAAUUGUUUAUAGCUUUAGUAUGUUUGCAGAACUGAGUUUCAGGUCGUUAGAGUAAAGGCGAAGUGGUCGGUUCUUGGUGCUCUGGAACAUCAAUCAGGUGUGUGUUCUGAAAAUGUUUAAUUUUGGUAUCGAAUUGCUAUUGGAUUCUAUGGAAUUCAGCAGUUUCUAGUGUGUUUAUGAAAUUGUGUGAAUUCGGUAACGAAUUGUUGUUGGAUUUUAGGGAAAUAUGCAAAAUUCUGAUGUGUCUUGAAUGGUUAGCGAUUUGGGGUUUGUUUUGCUGUUGUGAAAUUGCAAUUUUAGCUUGUUUCGGUGUGGUUUCUUUACCACAUGGGCGUGUGCCGCACACGAGUAGUCCACACGGUCGUGUGACAUUGGAAAUUUGGGAUUUUGGACUUUUUUUAGUGCCACACGGUCGUGUGGCAGCUAUUUAGGGAUUUUUGUGUGCCUUGGACACACGGUCGUGUCCCUUAGCCAUACGGGCAUGUGAGAUUCCCACACAGCCCUGUUUACUUUGCUCCUUAUUUUGACAUUUUUGGACAGUGAGUGACAUUAAUUAUUCACACGACCAUGUAACUCGGUCGCACGGGUAUGUGUCUCCUCCACACGAGAGUGUACAGCUUGCACACGGGCGUGUAGACCACCACACGACCUAGUAGACCUCCACACAACCUAGGCACUACCACACAGCCGUAUGGCCCUGUUUUGCAAAUUUUUGUUCAGUGUUGAAAUUUUGCUCGUUUUGUGUUUCUGUAUAUUUCAACCCUUGGUUAAGUCUUGGUAACUGUAUUUGGGACUCCGCUGCAAUAUGGAUUUAAGUGUGUAUGUAUGUGUUCAGUUUAGGUAAUCAGGAAAUGUAUUAAUGGAUUAUGAUGAAUGAGCUUGAAUUGCUUACUUGUUGUCGUAAUUCUGAAAUAUGUACAAACGCUAUUGAUUUUGAAAUUGUUCGGCUGAAUGUGAGUGACGGUCUCUGUGAGUCUAUUAGCGUAUGUUGUGCAUUCAUGCAUUUGCAUAAAAUCGAGGUUUUUAGUUGCGAAGAGAAGGAAGGCUGAUUGGGUAGUUCAACUGCAAUAUUUUUGUACAGCAGUUUACCGUAAUGAUUUAUACAUUUGUCAGCUAAGCUACAUAUUGUUAUUCGAGUGGCUUAGUUCCACAAUAUGUGGUGUGUAGGGUAGAUGGGCCUAUCAUGGUCCUAUGUCGUGUGCAGGGUGGACGGGCUUGAUAUAGCUCAUAGGUGGUGUGCAGGGUGGUCGAAGUGGUCUUCAGAUGGUUGGGGUGGGUUUUUGACUCGUUACAUUCGCUACGCAUCUAAAUAUAUGUUUGUUUAUGUGAGCAUUGAGGUGUUGGAGAUAUGACCAUUAUAACUUGAUGUGUUUUAUCUAAUAUGUGGUUUGGUAUGCUUUAAAAGCACCAUGUUAUUGAAUUACCCAUUGAGAUUUCCAUUUAUGAUUUGUGCUCAUAUACUGUUUUGGAAUACUCGAUGUGUUACUCCGUUUUGUUGAUUGCUUUUGAUUUCAGACUCACAUUGAGCUCAAGUAGCUCACCUCACCUUAGUGUUUCAUUCUUCGAGGUACUUUUCGUGUUCGAAAGCUGGACUCGGCAUGCCGGAGGUUUCAGACUAUCGAGUAAAUUGAUUUUGGUUCAAAUGAUGCUACUUAAAAAUUCAGUUGUUAUUUUCAAAUGGUUCGUAGGAAAGAUUAUAAAAAAUGUGGUAUGAGUUAAGUCUGGAUUUUCGAUCAACUAGUUGUUACGGUUUUAAACAAUUUAUAUGUUCCGUUAUAUCAAGGUUUCGAAAUUUUGGUUUGUGAAUGACAAAUUUAUGCUUUCAGAACUGUCAAAUGAUUCCAUAAGAAUUACUUCCGACUUGCGUCGAAUGCCAUUUAAAUGAUUCCAUAUGAAUUACUUCCGACUUGCGUCGAAUGCCAUUUAAACUUUGUUUCAAAAUUUAAUUAAGUGUUAUCUAACUUUCUAAAAUUACAUGCUUGUGACAGAGUUUUUAUCUCAACCACUUUAGGUGGUCAAUGUGACCUCCGAGAUUCGGUCUAAACUUUUAGGUCGGGUUUUAGGGUGUUACACAUUCUUAGUGUGUUUUUGGGUGAUUAUUCAAUGUUAAUGGUGAAUUUUAUGCUUCUAAUCCUUCAAAUUCUUAUUUUUAUGCUUAAAAGGGCAUUUGGGAGUAAAACAAGCAAAAAUUGGAGUAAGGUACAAGAGACACACGGGUUGACCCCUUCCACACUUCCUGAUAUUUAAAAUAAUCUAGAAAUAUAACCGAUUUUGAAAUAAAAUUUAAACAGAUUCUGAAAAAAAUUUUAACAGAUUCCCUAAAAAUCGUGGUUUUUCGCAUUUCAAAGUGCAAUUCUGCAAAAUUGACAUGACCUGCCACAUUGAAGCUGAUUUUGAAGUAGAUUUCUGUCAAGAUUGAAGACUCCCAGUUGAUUUCUUUGGAGAUUAUCAUUUCUUUAUUUCUUUCGGUUAUAUUAUAUCUUUGAUGUUUUUAUUUUCAAGCAUGAACUAAUUUUCUAAAUACAUAGGGAGAUGAACCCUAGGAUGGAUUCUGUCGUUUGAUUUUUAUUUUGCUCAAUAAAUACUUAGAUCUUAAUUCUUGAUAUAAUAUUUCUAGAUUAUUUAUCCAUGUUUGGUGUGCUUAAAUCAGAGGAGGAAUAGACCCUGUUUAAGAGUAGAUCUUGCGUAAUUGAGUGGAUUUGCAUGCAAUCCUAGACAUAAGACAACAUAAAUCUAUCGAAUUAGAGUCAAAUCUAAUAAGGGAAUUCAUAGCACAAGUUAAUGCGAUAAUAGGGGUUUUAAUUAGAAAGAAAUUUCAAUUAAUCAAUCUUGAGUUAGUUGCUCUUAUUCUCGAAAGAAAUAUUUGUAUAAUCUAGGGAUUUUUACAAAUCAAGUUGCUAAGUAAAGAAAUUGCGUAACUUAGAUUGAUAACGACAGAUGAAACCUAGAUGAGUAUUGUUUCGCUUCUUGGUUGUUAAUCGCUUAUUUUUCUGAUAUAUUUUUUGUCACAUUCUUUAGUUAGUUAAUUUAGUUAAUUUUAAUUUUAAUCAAUCACUCAAAUUUAUCGGUUAAAUAAUAAAAAGACAGUAUUUACUAGUACUUUUAGUCUUCGUGGAAACGAUAUCUUUAUUCACCGUAACUAUAUUGUUAAUUGAUACGUACACUUACCUUAGUCAAAUUUUUAGUUGUUCACGACACAUCAAUUCAAUUAAGCAUACAAUUAUUAAAUUAUCUCAUAAUUAAGCUGCACAACAUUAACUUACGUUAAAUUGUCAAGACACCAAAAUUAACAACCAUUUGUCCCAUAUUUUUGUGUUCAUUUUUUUUUCUUUUAAAAGUUUAUCUAGAGUGUCACGAGAUCUUUUUCCAUGAAAAAGGAUGACAAUCCAAACACUCCACUCCGAUUAAUCAAUUCACCACAUGUUGACUAACUUUAGUCAAAAUUGUUAAGAUCAAUAGAAUAGCUGAAUAGCUUAGAAUGUCACUAAAUCUUUUGACGUGAAGACAAAUGACAACCUAAGCACUUGACUCAAGUUACUCAAUCGAUCACAAUUCUAAGACUUUACUCAUAAUUUAGGCAAUUAAUGAGUAUUUAUUAAAUUAUUUUAUUGAUUAUUUUUUUCAAUUUUUUUUUGUUCGAAUGCAAGAUGAAACAUGUUUUAAGAGUAUUAAUCUCGUUAAAAAUUGCGUGAGCCUAAUUUUUUUUUUUUUGGUGAGUGCUUCAGCUAAGUAAUUAAUAAUUAUUAUUAUUUACUUUAAAAUAAAAUAAAAUUCAUGUAAAAGAGUAGCAUAUAUAGGCAGAGUAUUUAAACAUGCUUAAUAGAAAAUAUUCUAUCAAUUUUUGAAUCGCUUAAACAAUAAAAUGAUAUCUAAAUUAUAUUAAUUUUUUAAAAUUGGUAUUUAAAUUUUUCUUAAGUCAAAAUGGUACCUAAACAAUUAAUCUAUUAUCUAUUUAAUUCAGCCAAUCAAUUGCCACGUAAAUAUCUAUUUAUUUUUUUCAAAAUAUUACUAAAAUUUGAUAAAUAAAAUUAAAAAUAGUUAAAAAUAAAACAUCAUAAAUUUAAUAAAAUUUAAACCUUACGAAAAAAACAUUUUACUGAUUGAAAAAACAUCAUAAAUUAAUGCUACCAACAACUCCUAGAAAGAGUAUCCACUAAUAACAAUAAACUUACAUGAGUGAGGGAUUUAUUGAAACAAUCAGCAACCAAUUUUGACACUUUUUACCAAUUAUUUUAUAUAUUUAUUUUUUAUUAUUAUUAAAAAAAUUAAUUUAACUCUUUAAAAAUUACAAAGAUAUAGACUAUUAAAAUGAUGAAAUUAUUUAUUAUUAUUAUAAAAAUAUACAAUUUAAUUUCGACCUCCCAAUAAAUAUUUCAAAAUCCGCCACACGAAUGAUCCAAAUAAAAAGACGACAGUCAAUACAAUUAAAUUUAAAUUCUCACUUAAAUCCAAAUUCAAAGUAAAACAAAUGUGACAGAAUGAAUCAAAUAGUGGGAGAAUGUUUUUCAAGAAGUAGAAAUGCAAAAAUAGCUUCAAAAUCUACUCUUACUAAAAAAAAAGAAAAAUAAGAAAGAAUUUAUUAUCUUUUAUACUAUUAAUCUCUCACAUAUACGGCCAAGCUACUCUGAACGUACAACGCACCCAUUUGCGUCAUUGCAAACGCAAUUUUGGUCCUUAUGCUAUAAUAAAGGGGGAAAUGAUUCUGGUUUAGACAAGAAAAAUGAAUGCGUUGAUGAAGCUUCUAAUUCUUGCUCCAUGUUGUUUCUUCUUCAUAGCUUUAAUAAAGUUACUUUAUGAUUACCUAUGGAUACCUCUCCGUAUUCAGCAUAUGCUGAAUUCACAGGGGAUCAAAGGACCUCCUUACAGAUUCAUCCAUGGCAACAACAUGGAAGUUACCAAAAUGAAACAAAAUGCUUUAAGCAAAUCUGUGGCCUUGACAGAUGAUCUAUUUCCCAAAGUACAUCCACAUAUUUACACCUGAACCAACAGAUAUGGUAAGAUCCAUGCUUGUUUUUUUCACUAUGAUUUAUAACUUGUAGUUCUAAGAAAAGGUAGACCCUUUUUCUUUUCAUGUUAUUAGGGAAGAAUUUUGUUUAUUGGAACGGUGCUCGAGCUGAAUUGGUGAUUUCAGAGCCUGAAUUAAUCAAAGAGGUUCUGGAAAAUAGUGAACAAAUUUUUCAGAAAAAGAAACCUUCAGAUAUUGGUGGGAAGUUCUUGGGGAAUGGUCUUCUAUUCAUUGAGGGGGAAAAAUAGCCAAAGCAUCGAAAGCUGGCCAAUCACACUUUCCAUGGGGAAAGCCUAAAGGUAAGUCUUCCAAAUAUAUAAACCAGGUGCAAUUAAUUUACAAGAAUUAUACAUAGACCACAAUAUUUUGGUAAAAUUUUGUAUUGUUAGCUAAGGAUAAGUUUAUUAUGGACGUUGAAAAAGUGUAGUAAAAACAUACUUUCGAAGAUUUUAACACCAUUUACUACUUAGGAGGUCAAUUUUAAACUUGAUGCUGUAAAAUAAAAGAUUGAAUCAGAGAUUUAAAAAAAGUAAUUUCAUUAAAAAGCACUCUUUUAGCUUUUAGACUUGGAUUAAAAUCUAGUUUGAAAUAAGAUUUAGUUUGAAAAGGUGUUUAUUUGUCAAAUUUUUUAAUUUAAAAUCAUGAUUUUGUGUUAAAAAGUGUUUUUCAGACUCCAAUUAUAUAUGUCACUAUUACUUACAUGUUGGAGGAUUCUUUGGGCAGAACAUGACUCCAGCAAUAAUUGCUAGUGUUGAAACAAUGCUAGAAAAGUGGAAAGGCCAAGAAGGCAAGGAGAUUGAAGUGUACCAAGAAUUUAGGUUAUUAACUUCAGAAGUGAUUUCCAGAACAACAUUUGGUAGCAAUUACAUGGAAGGGGAGAAGAUAUUUGCCAUCUUGAGCAAGUUGGCAGUAAUUAUGAGUCGAAAUGUUUCCACGACUAGAAUUCCUUUGAUCAGGUAUCUUCCCUCUAAGCUUAAUUAAUCCCAACUUUUACCUUGAUUUCAUGUAGCCUUUGAAUGCAACUUUUAGACUUUCAUUCCCCGUGGAUUUGGUUUUCUCAUAUAUAGCUGACCCUGGUUUGCUUUUGCAGCAAGUUGUGGAAAUCUGCUGAUUUGCUAGAGUCUGAAAAACUUUCAAAAGAAAUGAAAGAUCGUGUGAUGAAGAUUGUUAAGAAAAGAGAAGACAAAGUUGUGAAUGGAGAAGUCAAUAGCUUCCGCAGUGAUUUUCUUGGAUUACUUCUAAAUGCCUAUUAUGAUUCGGAUGCGAAAAACAGGCUUUCAUUGGAAGACGUGGUAGCUGAAUGCAAAACACUCUAUUUUGCUGGACAAGAAACUGUUAAUUCCUUACUUGCAUGGAUAGUCUUGCAUUUGGCAAUCCUUGGAGAUUGGCAAGAAAAAGCGAGAAGAGAGUUGGUUGACAUAUUUGGUAACCAAAAUCCACAUCUCGAAGGCAUCGCCAAACUCAAAAUAGUAAGAAAACUAUAAAACUGGGAAUUCAAAUAGCCAUCGACAUGAUGUAAUCUGACAUAUUAUUCUAUUUUCCAAACAGAUGACCAUGAUCAUCAAUGAAGCUCUAAGAUUGUAUGGUCCAACAAAUGUCCUCCAAAGAACAGGUACAAGAGAAAUUCAGUUGGGAAAGCUAAUCUUGCCUGCUAAUAUAGAUAUUCUGCCUUUAAGUAUUGGACUUCACCGGGACCCUCACUUUUGGGGAAAUGAUGUGCAUCAUUUUAAACCUGAGAGAUUCGCUGAAGGGAUUGCCAAAGCUACCAAUUACACCGCGGCUGCCUUUUUCCCCUUCGGAUUAGGACCUCGAUCUUGUGUUGGUAUGACAUUUGCAAUGAUAGAAACCAAGAUUGCUCUCUCCAUGAUUCUACAACGCUACACCAUUACCCUUUCCCCUGCCUAUGUCCACUCUCCAGUACUUAUUCUUACCCUUCAACCCCAAAAUGGAAUUCAAGUAAUACUUGAGCCGAUACAUAGUAAUGCUUGAAGUACAUAGCCGUUAAGAACUAGAGGUUUAACAUGGUUCGUGAAUUCUACUUUUAAGAGAUGAUAUUUAAUAUGUUUAAAGGUUCUAGCAUUUAUCACAAAGACAAACGACUCGUGGUCAUGUUUACUUUUCAUCUAUCAUGCAAUGUCGAUGAGAAGAUACCAUUUACCAAUUAGUUGGGUUAUGAAUUCUACUAUUUUGAAUGAUGUUACAUACUAUAGAAGUUGUGUAUCCAGUGCACCAACUUUUAAUGGUUCUUUAUCUUAGCCUUUUACUUGCAUCAAAGUAUACGAGCCAUGCAUGCAUAGUCCAUCAUCCACUCAAGAUUAAGGUAUAUCACACUAUGAACAUCACAAGUAAAUAGAUCCAUAAAUGGAUUUAGAAUCGAUUCUCCUUGGGUCUUAUCUGAUGUACUGUCAGUCCAGUCAAUCACAUCUAUGUUUUUAUCUUUUAGGAGUCAUCUGUUCCAUUUGAGACAAAGCUUCUCCACAAUUGGGCUUGAUAGACGACAUAUUAGUUUCUCAAUCGAUUUGCUCAUUUUCAAUUAGACUAAGGACAUAUUUAGGUUUAUCUACUAAUACAAGCUAUCUUUUCAUAUCACGAUCUGACCACGUGAUACCGCUUAGUAUUAAUUUAAACAUUAGAUAACCAAUGAGUCAACAUUUGCUUCCAUUUUGCUUUGCAUGCAAAAACAUUGAGGACAAUAUCCAAAGGGUAUUACUUUAAUUAAUAGAUAUUAUUAAACCAAUUUGUUUGAAAAAUACAAUUAUAUAAAACGAACAUAGUACACUUAGUGUACCAGAUCCAACAGUGGCCACUACAGCUAGCAUUGCCAUUAUAAGCAACAUAACUUGACAUUUUUGGAGUUGAAAUCUUUUCAGCAAAAUCAGUUGGGCAACGACUUAGAUGAUUUUGUGGACAUGUGUUGGCUCAUAUUUGAAGAUCCAUUUUGUGGAAUCAAUCUUUGAAUAUUAAAUCAAUCUGAAUCAAGCAAAUUGGAUCACUUAUUUUGUGGAGAUUGGCUUGACUUAUUUGAAAAUUUAUUUUCGAAAUCUUUGAUUUAUUCUUGACUUUGAGGAUAUUUGUAAAGUUUUUUUUUACAAGGCUAUUUUUUGUGGGAUAUUGAUUCUAAUUGAUCUUUUAUCUUUGCAAACAUUAAAUUCUUAUAUAUUAGAGGCUUGUAUAAGUUAAAAAAAGAUAGAGUUUUUAUAGCACUUAUUUUUUUCAUUGAGGAACUUGUAUUUGAUAGUGCAUUAAGAGUGUAAAUUAAGUUUGUUGCUUGGUUUUACAACCAAAAUUCUCAAGGGAAUUUAGUGGUGAGUGAUUUAGAUCUUUAGAUACAAAAGUGAGGUUGCUAUACCGAGUUGUGAUAGGACUUCAAUAACUUGUUGUCUUGGGAUUAAAAAUAAUGAAUUUACUCACUAAGUUAGGUUUCAUAGACAUAGAAAAAUCGAUAUGCGUAAACAAUCAUUUGUGUUCCAUUUUUUGUUGUUGUGUUCAUCAUAGUGGCAUCAAAGGUUGCCACUACAGCCAUCACUUUGGUCAUCAAUUACGCACUUUAUUUUUUUAAGCAAUUAUCAACUUUAUGCUCCAAGAGAAUGCUUGUUUCUAGUACAAUUGAUCAAUUUUGUAGGAAGCAUAAUGACAAAAAAGAAAAUGGUUACAAUCAACCCCUUCUGUAACAACUCCAUUUGUAUCUUUGCAUGUUAUAAAAAGGUGGUUGUUAUAUACUAUAACAACAUGUUGUUAUAAAAAGAUAAUUAUUGUAAACCUAAAAUAGAAUUUAUAUCGUGAAUUACUAUCAAAUAAAGAAAUUGAGAAUUAUAUUAAAAAAAGGAAAGUAGAAAUCAAAUCAACAAAAUUAAAAGAUGUAUAAUAGGUGCAUGCAUUAUUACCUUUAUAUUUUAUUUUACAUUUUUCACAUGAUUAAUUAUAAAAUUCAUCAAUCUAACAAAUAAUUAAUCGAUAUGAGUUUAAAUUAAAUUAAAUUAGUUAAUUUAUCAUGUGUUAUUAAAUACAAGUAAUUAAUUUAUAAGAUUAUGAUGUUCUAAAUUCAUAGUAAAUUAAUAUUUAAUUAGAGAACUUAAUAGUUUAUUGAAUUGAUAUCUUUAAUUCCACGAAGAUUUUUCAUGUCAAAUUUAAACAUUUUAUUAAAAUAAUAUUUUAGUUAAGAUCAUUUUUAUUUAAUAAAUUAGAAUUCAUAUAAGCAAUAUAAUUAAUCAUAAUAAAUUAUAAUUAAUAGGCUUGUAUAUCGGUCCAGUGUAAUUAAUAGACUUGCUUAAAUGAGUUUUAAAAUAUAUUUUUAAAUUUAAAAUUUUAUUUCUUGAAUAAUGAAUUGUUACCUGCUUAAUUUAUGAAAUAUCUUUAUUGACUUAUUUGAUUGCAUUGGUGAAACAAUUAUUUUAGUAUUUUUAAAUUUUAUGUAUAUAAAAUUUUUAAAAAAAUAAUAAUAAAUCUAAAAUGACACAUCGAAACAGCUGAAUAUUGGCACAUGCGAAUACCAAUAAAAAAAUCAACAUCCACCAAUUUACCCGUUACUUUUUGGUAUUAGGUAGUGGGAGAUUUGGUUUUUGCUUUUGUUUUUGAGAUGUUGAUAUGUUUCACAUCAUCCAUAAGAUGGGCUCUACCUCACCUUUUGUUUGUCUGUUUCCCAUGCUUUCCAUACAAAUCACUAAAAGAAUGGGCUAAAAUGUCAAAUAAACUCUUCAAAAAUAAUUUUUAAAAAACUUAAUUAAGUCUCUUAUAAUAAAGUGCACCAAAUUGAGCUUUUUUAAAUCACAAUUUGCACUUAAUUAAUCCCCUUGAAUUCAUUUUCCCAUUGAAUCCCUUUACGUUCAGUUAACUGCUGACGGGGCAGGUGAUGUGGAAAAAUGAUGGUGUGUUAAUUAGUUUAUAUGGCAAGCUAACAUGGAGGGCUUAAAUGAUUUUUUAUUAUUUUACAAGGGUUUAAUUAAUUAUUUAAAUAAAAAUUAUUAAAAUUUUAAAAAAUCUAAUUUUAAAAUAUAAAUUAUAAAAAUCAUAAAAAAUAUUUUAAAAAUAUUAAAAAUGAUAGAAAAUUUUUAAAUGUUAUAAAUAGUUUAUAAAAACACAGGAAAUUUAUUAAAACAUCGUUAAAUAUAAAUACAUUAUCAUAAAAAUAGCAUAAAAUUUUAGAAAUUAUUAAAAAAUACAAAGAAAUACGAGUAAGUUAGAGAAAAUUAUUAAAAAUACAAAAAAUAUUAAAAAUUAGUAGUAACUUUUAUAAAAAUUAUUAAAUAGAUUUUUUUAUUGGUUUGGAGUGUUUGGCAUUUUCAAUUUUAUUUUUUUGGACAUUAGAGUCUUUGGUUUUAGUAAUAAGGAAAUGGGGAGAUUGAAGUGCGAUGAUCAAACUUGUGAGGGGUUUGAGUGACCAUGGGUUUAGUACUUGAUGGCUUAAAGUGAGCGAUCAAUAGAGGUGUUCAUGGACCGAUCCUGUUCAAAAAAUAAAAAAAAUGUUAAAGAAAGCUUUUCUAAAUAUUUUAUAUAUCUUAUAAUUAAGUUAAAAAUAUAUUUUUAUUAUUUUUAAAAUGGCGAAACGAAUCAUUUUGGCGAGCUAGGUCUAGUUGGGCUCAAGCCUAGAAAGUUUUAUGAAAUUAGGCUUAAGCUCCACCCAACUCAUGAAUACCUCUAGUGAUAUAUAAUGAUGUUGUAUUUGAGGAAAGAUGAUGCGAGGGACAUUAAUAAGGAAGGGUUGAUAUAUGAUGUAUGACAAUGCGUGAGAGAAAACAAAAAUGUGUAAUAAUUUUAAAUUUUUUAUAACUUUUUCUUUAAUUUUUAUAUUUCUUUAUAGUAUUUGAAUAGUUUUAAUAAAUUUUAUAUAUUUUUUCUAAAAAAAUUUAUAACAUUUUAUAUUUUUCUAUAUUUUAAUGUCUUAUAAUUGUUUAUAAAUUUAUAAUAAUUUUUAUGAAUUUUUAAUUUAUAUUUAAAAACUAGAUUUUUUUUUUAGAAUUUAAAAAUCGAAACAAUUGAAUAGGUGGAAUCGCUUCUUUAAAAAAUAUUUUUUUAUAUUUUUAUGAAAUUUUAAUUAUUUAUUUAAUCGUUGUUAGUUUAAGAGCCGAUUGAAUUAAGAAUCGAGAAUUUUAGACAUUGUGUCCUAACUUACGGGACGUGAUUCUUCUUCUGGAUUAACGUAGAAAUAUGCUUCUCUCUUUAAAGUUUAUUUUUCAAAAUUUUGAUAAAGGAUCGUAUUUUGAAUCUUUUUCAAGUUUUCAAUAUUCGACACUAAGACAUUAAUUAAUCAACUAGGUAUCAAUUUUGGGCGUUACGAGGGUGCUAAUCCUUCCUCGUGCGUAACCGACUCCCGAACUUAUUUUUCUAAAUUUCGUAGACCAAAACCGUUGUUUUAAUAAAAUCAAAUCGUUUAUUAAAAACAACUACUUUUCGAGGUGACCCGAUCACACCUCAUAAAAAAAAAGGAUUGGUGGGGACAUUUGUUUUCGUUUUCAAAAUCCAAGUCAAGCCCGUUUUAUCAAAAAAAUGGUUACUAGCUUUAGUCAAAAUUGUUAAGAUCAAUAGAAUAAGCGAAUAGCUUAGAAUGUCACUAAAUCUUUUGACGUGAAGACAAAUGACAACCUAAACACUUGACUCCAGUUACUCAGUCGAUCAGAAUUCUAAGACUUUACUCAUAAUUUAGCAAUUAGUGAGUAUUUAUUAAAUUAUUUUAUUGAUUAUUUUUCAAUUUUUUUCUUUUGUGAUCGAAUACAAGAUGAAACAUACUUUAAGAGUGUCAAUCUCGUUAAAGAUUGUGUGAGCCUAAUCGUUUUUUUUUUUUUUGUGAGUGCUUCAGCUAAGUAAUUAAUAAUUAUUAUUAUUUACUUUAAAAUAAUAAUAAAAUUCAUGUAAAAGAGUAGCAAUGGCAUAGUAUUGAAACAUGCUUAAUAGAAAAUAUUCUAUCAAUUUUUGAAUGGUUUAAACAAUAAAAUGAUAUCUAAAUUAUAUUAAUUUUUUAAAAUUGGUAUUUAAAUUUUUCUUUAGUCAAAAUGGUAUCUAAACAAUUAAUCUGUUAUCUAUUUAAUUCAGCCAAUCAUUUGCCACGUAAAAUAUUUAUUUAUUUUUUUCAAAAUAUUACUAAAAUUCGAUAAAUAAAAUUAAAAAUAGUUAAAAAUAAAACAUCAUAAAUUUAAUAAAAUUUAAACAUUAAGGGAAAACAUUUUACUGAUUGAAAAUACCCUUAAUCAGAUUUUACUAACAAUCCCUAUUUUUUUCAAACAAAUCACAAACUCUUUUAGUUCAAAAAAUUGCAAAUCAUCUUUUUACAACCUUCAUUAAUCCUUUGUGGAAUUGAUAGAAGGGUACGUUUGAAGAAUUAAUUUGUUUUUCUUGAAACCCUUGUUUGUCAAUUUCAUUGAUGAAACCUUUCUAAUUUCAUCAGUAUUUGAUUUUUAUUUUAGGUUAAUCGUAAAACUUUAAUUGAUUUGGGCAAACCGAAGGAGUUGUAAAAAGGUUGAAAGGUAUGAUUUAGGCUUAAGGGUUCUUUUAUAGUUAAUAUGUAGAAUCGAAUGUAUGUGACUUUUGGCAAGUUGUCGGUUCUUGAAAUUUUAUAUUGAGAAAGUAGAACACACCUUUUAAGGGGAAGUUCUUUGUUUGACUCGAGAUUAUUAGUCUGUUGACAAAAAGCCAAAAAAAUGUGCCAUUUGCUUUGAAGUUAUUUAUGAUUGUUUACGAUAAAUUGAGGGUUUUUAAUGGUGUUUAUAUAUGUAUUUUGUUAAGAUACAUAAUGAUACAACUAGAGUUUGUGAUAUGUUUUGAGAUGAUAGGCUUCUCGAUUAUGUGAUUUAUUGUCCUUAGCUAAUUCAAAUAUAGAUUAAUGAGGUUGGUUUAAUAUAUGUUGUAGGGAACAACGAAAAUGGGGAAAUAUUAAAUAUUACCCUAAAACAAAUUGAUAAUUAAUAUAGUUAAAUUAAAUCCAUUUUGUUUUGGCAAAUGAAAACCAUUGGUUUUUAAAGGUUUGAGAAUUGAGGAACCUUUGCAAAACAUAAUGCAAUAUCAUCACUAAAACACUGUUUAUAGGAGCUGAGUAUAAAUACUCUUUUCAUGUCUUUGUUGUUGGGUUUUUUAGGUCUUUUUGUGACAAUUAUCAGUCCUCUCAUUUCAAUAUUUAUGAUAAUAAUACCUGUAAAGCAUGUUGGUCAUGUCUUAUUUUUACUAUACUAAAAUUUGUACUAUUGUAGUACUUAUUAUUAAAGUUCUAGUCCCGUGACAAUUGGUAUUGGACUAAGAUUUGCAGCUUUCUGUUGAGAUGAGGAAAGGAGUAGAAGAGCAGAUUGAACCCAGAGAGACCCAUGGGAGGGGCAGGAACUAUUUAUAUAUUUUUGAGAUGUUGAUAUCUUCCAGAGCCUUUUAUGACCACACACGAUAAUGGGUAAGAUAGGGUCCUACCUGACUUUUGGUUUAUCUGUUUUGAAGGGGAAAAUGGUUCUGGUUUAGAGAAGAAAAAUGAAUGCGUUGAUGAAGCUUCUAAUUCUUGCUCCAUGUUGUUUCUUCUUCAUAGCUUUAAUAAAGUUACUUUAUGAUUACCUAUGGAUACCUCUCCGUAUUCAGCAUAUGCUGAAUUCACAGGGGAUCAAAGGACCUCCUUACAGAUUCAUCCAUGGCAACAACAACGAAGUUACCAAAAUGAAACAAAAUGCUUUAAGUAAAUCUGUGGGUUUGACUGAUGAUUUAUUUCCCAAAGUACAGCCACAUAUUUACACCUGGAUCAACAGAUAUGGUAAGAUCCAUGCUUGUUUUCUUCACUAAGAUUUACGACUUGUAGUUCUGAGAAAAGGUAGACCCUGUUGGUGCUGUAACUGAAACUAACAGACUCAGCACAGACUUGUCGAGCAAGUCUCGAGACUUGCUGAGCAAACAAGAGAAUUCGAGCAAAAGAAAGGAAGAAAAGCUAAGAAAAAAUGAAUAGGAAAAUUGAUGAACAAAACUGAACUAUAUUCAUAAAAUUGAAUAAUGGCAUAAUGCCAAUACAUAAAUCAAGCACUAAGCUUGUCAAAAACAGCAAGUAAUUACCUAAACAUCACCUACUCCCACUAAUUACAUGGAAACUUGAAAUUUUAGCUUGUAAACCUAUACAAAGUUGUGUUUACAGCUCAUACAUAAGCUAAUUACAUCAGUCAACAACCUAACUUAGUUAGAAAUGAACUAAGAUUACAUUUCAUUGACUAGAAAUUACAAAAUAAACAAAAUAAGCUUGCAUCAGCAGCUCCUGUAUGUCUUGGUCUUCAUGGCCUGCAUGCUGUCGAGUUUGUUGCAUGCUGAACCAACUUCAUCACUCCUCCUUGGUUUGCAUGGAGCAAACACCUAGCUUCUUUCUUAGACAUUCGAACCUUGUGACACUAAGGGCUUUGGUUAAAAUGUCUGCAAGUUGAUCCUCUGAAUUACAGUGGAUCAGCUUUACUUCCUGAGCUUGCUCCAUUUCUCGAACAACAUGCAGCUUGAUGCUGAAAUGCUUUGUUCUUCCGUAGAACACUGGAUUUUUAGCAAUUGCUACAGCAGAUUGGUUGUCACAGAAGAUCUCAGUAGCUUCCUCUUGAUGCAUAUUCAAGUCAGCUAAGAUUUUCCUUAGCCAUAUGGCUUGGUUGACAGCACUUGCUGCGGCCACAUACUCUGCUUCAGCAGUAGAUUGAGCCACUAGACUUUGCUUCUUCGAGCUCCAGCAAAACAUGGCUAAACUAAGAUUAAAAGCAUACCCUGAGGUGCUUUUCAUGUCAUCUAUCGAGCCAGCCCAGUCACUAUCAGUGUAGCCAACCAGCUUCAGAUUUCCUUCUUUGCUAUACUUCAAACCAUAGUUCAAAGUGCCUUUGACAUAUCUCAGCACUCUCUUUGCAGCUUGGAAAUGCUUCUCAUUGCAGCAAUGCAGGAAUCUUGAGAGCAAUCCUAUAGCAUACAUGAUGUCUGGUUUAGUGGCAGUCAAGUAUAGCAAACAACCAACUAGACUCCUGUAGGUUGUUUCACAUACCUUCUCAAAAACACCUUGGCUCGAUAGUUUUUCUCUAACAGCAACAGGUGUUUUAGUUGCCUUGUUGUUUUGCAUGGAAAACUUGGUCAGAAUCUUUGUGGCAAAGCUUCUCUGGCUUAGAAAUAUCUCAUUCUGUACUUGAGACACCUCCAUUCCAAGAAAAUAGGACAUCUCCCCAAGAUCAGACAUUUCAAACACUUCCUGCAUCUUGGUCUUGAAAUCAGCCAGCACUGCUCGAUCUCCUCCUGUCACCAGAAGGUCAUCAACAUACAGGGACACAAUGAGUUGUGUUUGUGUCCAUUGUUUCUUGACAUACAGUGUUGGCUCACUCUUGCUUCGAUCGAAUCCCAGAUCAGUCAAGUAGCCAUCGAUUCUGCUGUACCAGGCCCUUGGAGCCUGUUUUAAUCCAUAUAGGGCUUUCUUCAGUUUGUAGACCAUAUGCUCUUUGCCAGCUAUUUCAAACCCUUGUGGUUGUUCAACAUAGAUGUUUUCAUCUAGGAAACCAUUCAGAAAGGCUGAUUUUACAUCGAGCUGAUGGAUCUUCCACUCGAGCUGUACUGCUAAGCCAAUCAGUAGUCUGAUGGUGUCGAGCCUGGCCACUGGUGCAAAGGUCUCCAAGUAGUCCAGGCCAUAUCUCUGACUGAACCCCUUGACUACUAGCCUUGCUUUCAGCUUAUUCAAGGUACCAUCAGCAUUCUGUUUGGCUUUGUACACCCAUUUCACCCCAAUCACCUUCCUUUUGACUGGCCUUUCAACCAAUUCCCAGGUCUGGUUCUUCUCAAUCAUGUUGAUCUCCUCAGCCAUUGCCUGCUUCCACCCUUGCUGAGCCUCAGCCUCUUCAAAGUUGCUUGGUUCAGCUAUGGCUACAUGAGCCCUUUCAUAAAUCUCAGUCAAUGGCCUUGUUCCUCUGACUGGUUCAUCAUCAAUGUCCAUUUCUGGAACAUUUUGGUCUGGCUCAGCUUGGUCUGUUGCUAGUUCUUCAGAAACUUCUUCAGGUUCAUGUCUUUCCCAGUUCCAACAUGACCUUUCAUCAAAUACCACAUCCCUACUAACUGACACUUUGUUUGUUGAAGGAUCCAAGAUCCUAUAGCCCUUCUUAACAGUGCUGUAGCCCACCAGUACAGCAGGUUGAGCCCUUUCAGACAAUUUGUCCCUUUUAACAGCAGGUACAUGUGCAUAACAAAUGCAUCCAAAGACUUUCAGAUGAGCCAGUGAUGGCUUGAAGCCAAAUCAGGCCUCGAAUGGGGUCUUCUGAUCCAAGGCCUUUGUUGGUAGUCUAUUUUGAAUGUAUGUUGCAGUGUUAACUGCUUCUGCCCAUAGUAUUCUAGGCAAAUUCUUCUGAAUCAUUAAGCAUCUGGCCAUAUCCAUCAAACUCCUGUUCUUCCUUUCACUUACACUAUUCUGCUGAGGUGUAUAUGUGUUGGUAAGUUGAUGUUUGAUGCCUGCCUUAUCACAGAAGGCUUGGAACUGAGCUGAGGUGUACUCAGUCCCAUUAUCAGACCUUAUGGUCUUCAGCUUGCAGCCUAUUUCAGUCUCAGAAGCAGUCUUGAACUUCCAAAACACUGAGGCCACCUCUGAUUUUUGUUUUAAGAAGUAAAUCCAACAAUAUCUUGAAAAAUCAUCAAUGACCAGUAUAAAAUACCUAUUUCCACUUAAUGACUCAGUCUUCAUAGGGCCACACACAUCAGUAUGCACCAGUUGGAGUUUUUCAGAGGCUCUCCAGGCUUGAUUCGAGGGAAAUGGGAGUCUGGCCUGCUUUCCUAGCUGACAUACUCCACAUACAUCAUCAUGGUCCACUGAGUUGAUGAAGUUUUUAGCCAGGUCUUCUCUGACCAUUCGGGCCAUCGAUCUGAAGUUGGCAUGUCCCAGCCUUUGAUGCCACAACUUGGAUUCAUCUGAUGUGGCUGUGUAGGCAAUGUCUGACUUCUUUGUCCAGUCAACCACAAAGCUCUUAUCAGCCAUAGGGACUGCCAUCAGUUUGGAUCCACUUGGAUCACUGAUUUGGCACUGGUUGUCUUUGAACACAACAGAAUACCCUUUCUCCAGCAAUUGAGCUAUGCUAAGCAGGUUUCUGUCAAUUUCAGGCACCAAGAGCACAUUUGAAAUCACUUUGGCACCUGUAGAAGUGCAUAUCAGCACAUCACUCUUGCCUUCAGCUUGAAUGAAAUGACCAUUUCCUAUUUUGACCUUAGUUCUGCAGCUUCUGUCUAAAGACUUGAAGAUUGCAGCAUCAGGUGUCAUGUGGUUGGUGCAUCCACUGUCUAGGAGCCAACCAGAUGAGAACCUUUCCUGAGCAGCUGAGCAUGACAUAGUAAAAACUUGCUCCUCUUAGUCACUGUCCUCCUUAGCUACUCGAGCCUCAGCUUUCAUCUGUUGAAACUGAUUGUGCCUUGAUUUGGCCUUGCUCUUGCAAACUCUCUCAACAUGACCCUUCUUCUUACAAUGCUGACAUACAGUUUCUGGAUUAAACUAGCACUUUUCUUCUAGAUGACCAACCCUUCUGCAGUGCUUGCAAGUCUGACCUUCUCUCCUUGCAGCAUCAUUCUUUGGCUUGUCUCUCCAGGCCUUCUUGCCUUUAUAGGCAGUGUUUAUUCUUUCCUGAAAGGCACCUUCUUGAUGCUCCUCCAGCCUGCUUGCUCUCCUCUACUCUUGAGCAUAUAGAGCAUUGAUCAACUCUGUCAGGGAGAUGGUGGACAGAUCCCUUGAGUCCUCGAGAGAUGAGAUUUUUGCCUCAUACCUCUCAGGCAGAGUUGCUAUAACCUUCUCCACUAUCCUAGCUUCAUUGAACUGCUCUCUAAGGAGCCUGAUGCUGUUAACCACAGCCAUAAUCCUGUCAGAAUAUUGCUUGACAGUUUCUUCUUCCUUCAUCUUCAAAUUCUCGAAAUCUCUCCUCAAGUUCAACAACUGUUGCUGCCUUGUCAUCUCUGUCCCUUGAAACUCUUCCUGCAACUUGUCCCAGGUCUGUUUUGGUGAUUCACAGGCCAUAAUCCUUGUGAAAAUCACAUCAGACACUGAGUUCUAGAUGCGAGACAUGGCUUUGUGCCUCUUGGUCCUCUCAUCAGCAUGCUGCCUGAUCUGAGCCACUGUUGGAUUGCCUCUAAGUGGUUCUGGUUCAACAUCUGAGUUGACCACCUCCCACAGAUCGUAUGCCUGCAGGUAGGUCUUCAUUUUGACCACCCAUAUGUGAUAGCCUUCUCCAUUGAAUACUUGAGGUGCAGCUGGUGAAAAGCUUGAUGAAGCCAUGUAUUUGUAUAACAGAUCCCUUAAGAAAUAGGCUCUAGAUACCAAUUGUUGGUGCUGUAACUGAAACUAACAGACUCAGCACAGACUUGUCGAGCAAGUCUCGAGACUUGCUGAGCAAACAAGAGAAUUCGAGCAAAAGAAAGGAAGAAAAGCUAAGAAAAAAUGAAUAGGAAAAUUGAUGAACAAAAAAGAACUAUAUUCAUAAAAUUGAAUAAUGGCAUAAUGCCAAUACAUAAACCAAGCACUAAGCUUGUCAAAAACAGCAAGUAAUUACCUAAACAUCACCUACUCCCACUAAUUACAUGGAAACUUGAAAUUUUAGCUUGUAAACCUAUACAAAGUUGUGUUUACAGCUCAUACAUAAGCUAAUUACAUCAGUCAACAACCUAACUUAGUUAGAAAUGAACUAAGAUUACAUUUCAUUGACUAGAAAUUACAAAAUAAACAAAAUAAGCUUCCAUCAGCAGCUCCUGCAUGUCUUGGUCUUCAUGGCCUGCAUGCUGUCGAGUUUGCUGCAUGCUGAACCAACUUCAUCAGACCCUUUUUCUUUUCAUGUUAUUAGGGAAGAAUUUUGUUUAUUGGAAGGGUGCUCGAGCAGAAUUGGUGAUUUCAGAGCCUGAAUUAGUCAAAGAGGUUCUGAAAAAUAGUGAACAAAUUUUUCAGAAAAAGAAACUUUCAGAUAUUGGUAGGAAGUUCUUGGGGGAAUGGUCUUAUUUUCAUUGAGGGGGAAAAAUGGGCAAAGCAUCGAAAGCUGGCCAAUCACACUUUCCAUGGGGAAAGCCUAAAGGUAAGUCUUCUAAAUAUAUAAACUAGGUGUAAUUAAUUUACAAGAAUUAUACAUAGACUACAAUAUUUUGGUAAAAUUGUGUAUUGUUAGCUAAGGAUAAGUUUAUUAUGGGCGUUGAAAAAGUGUAGUAAAAACAUACUUUUGAAAAAUUUAACACCAUUUACUACUUAGGAGGUCAAUUUUAAACUUGAUGUUCUAAAAUAAAAGAUUGAAUCAGAAAUUUUAAAAAAAAAGUAAUUUCAUUAAAAAGCACUCUUUUAGCUUUUUGACUUGGAUUAAAAUCUAGUUUGAAAAGGUGUUUAUUUGUCAAAUUGUUUAAUUUGAAAUCAUGAUUUUGUGUUGAAAAGUGUUUUUCUGACUCCAAUUAUAUAUGUCACUACUACUUACAUAUAGGAGGAUUGUUUGGGCAGAACAUGACUCCAGCAAUAAUUGCUAGUGUUGAAACAAUGCUAGAAAAGUGGAAAGGCCAAUAAGGCAAAGAGAUUGAACUGUACCAAGAAUUUAGGUUAUUAACUUCAGAAGUGAUUUCCAGAACAACAUUUGGUAGCAAUUACAUGGAAGGGGAGAAGAUUUUUGCCAUGUUAGACAAGUCGACAAUAAUUGUGAGUCAAAAUCUUUCUAAGACUAGAAUUCCUUUGAUCAGGUAUCUUCCCUCUAAGCUUAAUUAAUCCCAACUUUUACCUUGAUUUCAACUAGCUUUUGAAUGCAACUUUUAGACUUUCAUUCCCCCUGGAUUUGGUUUUCUCCUUAUAUAUAGCUGACCCUGGUUUGCUUUUGCAGCAAGUUGUGGAAAUCUGCUGAUUUGCUAGAGUCUGAAAAACUUUCAAAAGAAAUAAAAGAUCGUCUGAUGAAGAUUGUUAAGAAAAGAGAAGACAAAGUUGUGAAUGGAGAAGUCAAUAGCUUCCGCAGUGAUUUUUUUGGAUUACUUCUAAAUACCUAUCAUGAUUCGGAUGAGAAAAACAGGAUUUCAUUGGAAGACUUGGUAGCUGAAUGCAAAACAUUCUAUUUUGCUGGACAAGAAACUGUUAAUUCCUUACUUGCAUGGAGAUUGGCAAGAAAAAGCGAGAAGAGAGGUGGUUGACAUAUUUGGUAACCAAAAUCCACAUCUCGAAGGCAUCGCCAAACUCAAAAUAGUAAGAAAACUAUCUAACUGGGAAUUCAAAUAGCCAUCGACAUGAUGUAAUCUGACAUAUUUUUCUAUUUUCCAAACAGAUGACCAUGAUCAUCAAUGAAACUCUAAGAUUGUAUGGUCCAACAGGUGUCCUCCAAAGAACAGUUACAAGAGAAAUUCAGUUGGGAAAGCUACUCUUGCCUGCUAAUAUAGAUAUUCUGCCUUUAAAUAUUGGACUUCACCGUGACCCUCACUUUUGGGGAAAUGAUGUGCACCAUUUUAAACCUGAGAGAUUCGCUGAAGGGAUUGCCAAAGCUACCAAUUACACCGCGGCUGCCUUUUUCCCCUUCGGAUUAGGACCUCGAUCUUGUGUUGGUAUGACAUUUGCAAUGAUAGAAACCAAGAUUGCUCUCUCCAUGAUUCUACAACGCUACACCAUUACCCUUUCCCCUGCCUAUGUCCACUCUCCAAUACUUAUUCUCACCCUUCGACCCCAAAAUGGAAUUCAGGUAAUACUUGAGCCGAUACAUAGUAAUGCUUGAAGUACAUAGCCGUUAAGAACUAGAGGUUUAACAUGGUUCGUGUAUUGAACUUUUAAGAGAUGGUAUUUAAUAUGUUUAAAGGUUCUAGCAUUUAUCACAAAGACAAAUGACUCGUGGCCAUGUUUAAUUUUCAUCUAUCGUGCAAUGUUGAUGAGAAGAUAUCAUUUACUCAUUAGUUGGGUUAUGAAUUUCACUAUUUUGAAUAAUGUUACAUACUAUAGAAGUUGUAUAUCCAAUGCACCAACUUUCGGUAGUUCUUUAUCUUUUUGAACUUAGCCUUUCACUUGCAUCAAAGUAUACAAGUCAUGCAUGUAUAGUCCAUCAUCCACUCAAGAUUAAGGUAUAUCACGCUAUGAGCAUCAAAAGUAAAUAGAUCCAUAAAUGGAUUUAGAAUCUAUUCUACUUGGGUCUUAUCUGAUGUACUGUUAGUCCAGUCAAUCACAUCUAUGUCUCUCUCUUUUAGGAGUCAUCUGUUCCAUUCGAGACAAAACAUUUCCACAAUUGGGCUUGAUAGACGACAUAUUAGUUUUUCAAUCGAUUUGCUCAUUUUCGAUUAGACUAAGGACAUAUUUAGGUUUAUUUACUAAUACAAGCUAUCUUUCCAUAUCUAAUUCAAAUAUAGAUGAAUGAGAUUGGUUUAAUAUAUGUUGUAGGGAACAACGAAAAUGGGGAAAAAUUAAAUAUUACCCUAAAAUAAAUUGAUAAUUAAUAUAGUUAAAUUAAAUCCAUUUUGUUUAGGCAAAUGAAAACCAUUGGUUUAAAAGGUUUGAGAAUUGAGGAACCUUUGCAAAACAUAAUGCGAUAUCAUCACUAAAACACUGUUUAUAGGAGCUGAGAAUAAAUACUCUCUUUUCAUGUCUUUGUUGCUGGGUUUUUUAGGUCUUUUUGUAAUUAUCAUUCCUCUCAUUUCAAUAUUUAUGAUAAUAAUACCUGUAAAACAUGUUCGUCAUGUCUUGUUUUUACUAUUUAUGUAAACAUGAUUCCGGUAUAAACUAUACUAAAAUUUGUACUAUUGUAGUACUUAUUAUUAAAGUUAAGAAAUUAUUUAAGGUCGUGCGAUUUGUAAAAUUAAAGUUCUAGUCCCGUAAUAAUUGGUAUUGAACUAAGAUUUGAAGCUACCAGUUGAGAUGAGGAAAGGAGUAGAAGAGCAGAUUGAACCCAGAGAGACCCAUGGGAGGGGCAGGAGCUAUUUAUAUAUUUUUGAGAUGUUGAUAUCUUCAGGAGCCUUUUAUGACCACACACGAUAAUGGGAAAGAUAGGGUCCUACCUGACUUUUGGUUUAUCUGUUUUGAAGGGGAAAAUGGUUCUGGUUUAGAGAAGAAAAAUGAAUGCGUUGAUGGAGCUUCUAAUUCUUGCUCCAUGUUGUUUCUUCUUCAUAGCUUUAAUAAAGUUACUUUAUGAUUACCUAUGGAUACCUCUCUGUAUUCAGCAUAUGCUGAAUUUAGAGGUGAUCAUGAGUUGGGCGCCCUGGCCCAGCCUGACGGCCCGCCUGAAAAAUGAGAGGGUUUGGGUAAAAAAAAGAGACCCGUUUAAAAAAUAGGCCAAGCCUCAGGUAAAAUUUUUUUGGCCCCGGCCCAGCCCGAAAUAUAUAUUAAAUAUAUUUUUUUAAUCAUAUAUAUAUAUUAAAUAUAUACUUUUUUGGUGUUGUAAAAUUUAAUAUGGGCCAGGCCGGGCAGGGCUUAGCAAUUUUUUUCAGGUCGAGCUUGGACAAAUUUUUAGGCCCAUAUCUUGGGCCGGAUCAAGCCCGGGCUUAGAAAACGGGCCUAAAAUUUUAUCUUGGGCCGGUCCUGCCUGGCCAAUGAUCAUCUCUAGCUAAAUUCACAGGGUAUCAAAGGACCUCCUUACAGAUUCAUCCAUGGCAACAACAAGGAAGUUAUACUUUAAUUAUUAUUAUUUAUUUAAUUAUUAUUGGUCUAGUAGUCGAACCGAUUGAAUAAGAAAUCAAUAGUUUUAUCUUUUAACUGAUACUGUGAGAUUGUAGCACAUCAUCACCUAAAAAUUUAUAUAAUUUUUUUAAUUUUCAAGUGAUACAUAUGAUCAUGUCACAUCAUCAAACUUUUAAAAUUUUCAUGUUCAAAGAUUAAAAUAGACCUAAUUGUUAAAUUCAAAUGACAAAGUGGGCCAAAAAAAUCCUAAUAGCCAAUAAUAGAAAAAAUAUAUUAUUUAAAAAAAUAAAAAUAUUAAAGAAGACCCACGUGGUGAUAUUUCUCUUUUUCCAUAGUUCCCGACAAUAUUGUUGCCGUCUAUAUGUCGUAAAUAUGCUGCAACCAGCAAAAUUUGUUUUCUAAUAUUUGGCAACUUUUACUUGCAAGACAACGAAGAAAAACACUUAAAUAAUUAGUUCAGUCCUCCUCAAUAAUGGGAGAAUGUUUUUCAAGGCAAAAAUAGCUUCAAAAUCUACUCUUACUAAAAAAAAAAAAUUAUUAUCUUUUGUCCAUUUAAUUCAUCCACUAUUUAUAAUUAAAUAAUUAAAUUUCAAUUGAUAAUACCAAUUCCUUCAAUUCAAUCAUGUGUUGUUUUUUUUUAAAAAAAAAAACCUUACACGAAAUUCAUAUAAGAUAUAUAUGUAUAUAUCGAUUUUCAUUCUAUCUUUUUAAAAUAGAUUUGAAGAAUCUUACAAUUCGAGAAUUAAUAUUUUCAUUUGCUUAUUUGACUUUCCACGUGUAUGUAUUAGCUAGAUGAGUAUGAUUUUUUAUUUCGUAAGUGCCAAAUAAAUAUUACUUUAACAAAGGUUUUUUUUUUAUUACAAUGUUAUGAAUUGAAUUUCAAAAGUGCAAAUGAUACAGGGAGUGAAAGCAUAGUUAGACCUAAAAGAAACUAAGAAGUCAGUUGUUAUUGAGAAACGUCCUAAAUCCACUAUAUAAAAACAAAAGGACCAUCUGGAUUCAGUGUUAAGAGAAGAAACAUGAGUGAUUUGAUGGAGCUUGUGAUACAGCAUAUGCUGAAUUCAUAGGGAAUCAAAGGACCUCUUUACACAUUCAUCCACGGCAACAACAAGCAAAUUACCUAAAUGAAAAAGAAAGCAUUAAACAAUCCUGGCGUUGCAGUGGAACAGAUUAAAGCUACAAAUUAUGGUAGUGGAGCAGAUUAGAGCUACCAGCCUUAUCUCCCUGAAGUUGUAGCGGAGCAGACUGAAGAUAGAGAAUCUUAUUUCCCUAGCGUUGCAGUGGAACAGAUUAAAACUACAAGUUAUGGCGGAUCUUAUCUUCCUAAAUUUGCAAUGGAGCAGAUUAAAGCCACCAGCCUUAUCUCAUUGAAGUUCCAGCGGAGUAGAUCAAAGCUACAAGUCUCUUCUCCCUAAAAUUACAUUGGAGCAUAUCAAAACACCAAUUCCUAUACCCCUGAAGAUGCGAUGAAAUGGAAUGAGACUACUUGAAAGAAAGAAGCACCAUAAAGUCAAGAUUCGGCAAGACCAGGCAAAAUUAGCCUCUUUAAAGUCUUUCUACCAUUCUCAUUACACGAGAAUGAGCAAAGAGGGACAGUUGUAAUAGGCCAAUUUUGGCCCAGGCUCAAAACCAAAUAAAUAAAACCAAAACCUGAGAGAUUCGCUGAAGGGAUUGCCAAAGCUACCAAUUACACCGCGGCUGCCUUUUUCCCCUUCGGAUUAGGACCUCGAUCUUGUGUUGGUAUGACAUUUGCAAUGAUAGAAACCAAGAUUGCUCUCUCCAUGAUUCUACAACGCUACACCAUUACCCUUUCCCCUGCCUAUGUCCACUCUCCAAUACUUAUUCUCACCCUUCGACCCCAAAAUGGAAUUCAAGUAAUACUUGAGGCGAUACAUAGUAAUGCUUGAAGUACAUAGCCGUUAAGAACUAGAGGUUUAACAUGGUUCGUGUAUUUUACUUUUAAGAGAUGAUAUUUAAUAUGUUUAAAGGUUCUAGCAUUUCACAAAGACAAACGACUCAUGGCCAUGUUUACUUUUUAUCUAUCAUGCAAUGUCGAUAAGAAGAUACCAUUUACCCAUUAGUUUGGCUAUGAAUUUCACUAUUUUGAAUGAUGUUACAUACUAUAGAAGUUGUAUAUCCAGUGCACCAACUUUCGGUUCUUUAUCUAUUUGAACUUAGCCUUUUACUUGCAUCAAAGUAUACGAGUCAUGCAUGCAUAGUCUAUCAUCCUCUCAAAAUUAAGGUAUAUCACACUAUGAACGUCACAAGUAAAUAGAUCCAUAAAUGGAUUUAGAAUCUAUUCUACUUGGGUCUUAUCUGAUGUACUGUCAAUCCAGUCAGUCACAUCUAUAUUUUUAUCUUUUAGGAGUCAUCUGUUCCAUUCGAGACAAAGCAUCUCCACAAUUGGGCUUGAUAGACAACAUAUUAUUUUUUAAUUGAUUUGCUCAUUUUCAAUUAGACUAAGGACAUAUUUAGGUUUAUCUUCUAAUACAAGCUAUCUUUUCAUAUCACGAUCUGACCACGUAAUACCGCUUAGUAUUAAUUUAAACAUUAGAUAACUAACGAGCCAUUAUUUGCUUCCAUUUUGCUUUGCAUGCAAAAAUAUUGAGGACAAUAUCGAAAGGGUAUUAAUGUAAUUAAUAGAUAUUAUUAAACCAAUUUGUUUGAAAAAUACAAUUAUAUAAAACGAAUAUAGUACACUUAGUGUACCAAAUCCAACAGUGGCCACUACAGCUAGCAUUGCCAUAAGCAACAUAACUUGACAUUUUUGGAGUUGAAAUCAUUUUAACAAAAUCAUUUGGGCAACGACUUAGAUGGUUUUGUGGACAUGUGCUGUCUCAUAUUUGAAGAUCCAUUUUAUGGAGCAAUCAAUCUUUGAAGACUAAAUCAAUUUGAAUCAAGCAAGUCAGAUCACUUAUUUUAUGGAGAUUGGCUUGACUUUUUGAAAAUUUGUUUUCGAAAUAUUUGAUUUAUUCUUGACUUUGAGGAUAUUUGUAAAGUUUUUUUUUACGAGGCUAUUUUUUGUGGGAUAUUGAUUCUAAUUGAUCUUUUAUCUUUGCAAACAUUAAAUUCUUAUAUAUUAGAGGCUUGUGUAAGUUAAAAUAAGGUAGAGUUUCUAUAGCACUUAUUUUUUCAUUGAGGAACUUGUAUUUGAUAGUGCAUUAAGAGUGUAAAAUAAGUUUGUUGCUUAGUUUUUCAACCAAAAUUCUCAAGGAAAGAACUUAGUGGUGAGUUGUGAUAGGACUUAAAUAACUUGUUGUCUUAGGAUUAAAAAUAAUGGAUUUACUCACUAAGUUGGGUUCCAUAGACAUAGAAAAAUCGAUAUGCGUAAAUAAUCAUUUGUGCUCUAUUUUUUUGUUGUUGUGUUCAUCAUAGUGGCAUCUAAGGUUGCCAUUACAACCAUCACUUUGGUCAUCAAUUACGCACUUUAUUUUUUUUCAGCAAUUAUCAACUUUAUGCGCCAAGAGAAUGCUUGUUUCUAGUACCAUUGAUCAAUUUUGUAGGAAACAUAAUGACCAAAAAGAAAAUGAUUACAGUCAACCCCUUCUGUAACAACUCUAUUUAUUUGUUAAGAUUUUGCAAGUUAUAAAAAGGUGGUUGUUAUAUACUAUUACAACAUGUUAUAAAAAGAUAAUUAUUGUAAACCUAAAAUAGAAUUUAUAUCGUGAAUUACUAUCAAAUAAAGAAAGUGAGAAUUAUAUUAAAAAAAGGAAAGUAGAAAUCAAAUCAACAAAAUUAAAAGAUGUAUAAUAGGUGCAUGCAUUAUUACCUUUAUAUUUUAUUUUACAUUUUUCACAUGAUUAAUUAUGAAAUUCAUCAAUCUAACAAAUAGUUAAUCGAUAUGAGUUUAAAUUAAAUUAAUUAAUUUAUCAUGUGUUAUUAAAUUCAAAAUGGUACCUAAACAAUUAAUCUGUUAUCUAUUUAAUACAGCCAAUCAUUUGCCACGUAAAAUAUCUAUUUAUUUUCUUUUAAAAUAUUACUAAAAUUCGAUAAAUAAAAUUAAAAAUAGUUAAAAAAUAAAACAUCAUAAAUUUAAUAAAAUUUAAACGUUAAGGAAAAACAUUUUACUGAUUGAAAAUACCCUUAAUCAGAUUUUACUAACAAUCCCUAUUUUUUUCAAACAAAUCACAAACUCUUUUUGUUCAAAAAAUUUCAAAUCAUCUUUUUACAACCUUUAAUCCUUUGUGGAAUUGAUAGAAGGGUACGUUUGAAGAAUUAAUUUUUUUUCUUGAAACCCUUGUUUGUCAAUUUCAUUGUUGAAACCUUUCUAAUUUCAUCAUUAUUUGAUUUUUAUUUUAGGUUAAUCGUAAAACUUCAAUUGAUUCGGGCAAAUCGAAGGAGUUGUAAAAAGGUUGAAAGGUAUGAUUUAGGCUUAAGUUAACACCAUUUGUAAAGGGUUCUUUUAUAGUUAAUAUGUAGAAUCUAAUGUAUGUGACUUUUGGCAGGUUGUGGGUUCUUGAAAUUUUAUAUUGAGAAAGUAGAACACACCUUUUAAGAGGGAAGUUCUUUGUGACUCGAGAUUAUUAGUCUGGUGACAAAAAGCCAAAAAAUGUACCAUUUGCUUUGAAGUUAUUUAUGAUUGUUAAUGAUAAACUUAGGAUUUUUAAUGGUGUUUAUAUAUGUAUUUUGUUAAGAUACAUAAUGAUAAAACUAGAGUUUGUGAUAUGUUUUGAGAUGAUAGGCUUCACGAAUAUGUGAUUUAUUGUCCUUAGCUAAUUCAAAUAUAGAUUAAUGGUGCCACUGCCACAGGCAGCACAACUCCCCUUAUAAUGGGGGGACCAUUCGGCUGGUGGGUGGAAAAGAAAAGGAGAGGGAAAGAAAUGGAAAGGAGAAGAAAGAAAGAAAAGGAAAGGAGAACACUACACCAGAACAGGCUUUUAGCGGCAUAUUUUGUGGCGUUUUGAUAACAAACGCCGCUAAAAAUCAAGCAUUAGCGGCGCAAAGAAUAAAACGCCACUAAAGAUCUAGCAUUAGUGGCGCUUCUUAUAAAACGCUGCUAAAGAACAUAAUUCGCGGCGUUUACCACACAGCGCCGCAAAAUCUCAAGACCAACACGCAGCGUUCUGGUCUUGAUGUAUAUUAGCAUUAGUGGUGCUUACGAACAAACGCCGGUAAUGUAUAGUAUUAGCGGCGCUUAGCGGAAGCGCCGCAAAAGAUGUUAACCAAAACGCAGAGUUUGGUCUUGAUGUAUAUUGCAAUUAGUGGCGCUAAUGUAUAGUAUUAGCGGCACCGAGCGUUAAACGCCGCAAGACAUCUUAAUCAAAACGCAGCGUUUUGGUAUUGAUGUAUACUAUAAUUAGUGGCUUUUAAGGAAAACGCCAGUAAAGGAUAGUUAUAGCAGUGUUUGGUGGUAAGAUCCUCAAAAUAUCUUAACCAAAACGCAGAGUUUGGUCUUGAGGUGUAUUAGAAUUAGUGGCGCUUGCUGAAAAACGCCGCUAAAGUAUAGUAUUAGUGGCGCUUGUGGAACGCGCCGCAAAGUGUCUUAACCAAAACACAGCGUUUAGUUCUUGAUGUAUACUGGAAUUAGUGGCGCACAUGGGAAAACGCCAUUGAAGCAUAGUAUUAGCGGCGCUUGUACCGAAACGCCACAAAAAACCUAAGCCAGACGGCAUCGUUUCGAAACUUUUUAGUGCUUUAGCGGCGUUUUUCCUUAAAGCGCCACAAAUCAUUUUAUAUGUUUUUUAUAUUUAAUUUGUUUAUUUAUAUUAAUUAAAAUUUAAUUUAUUUUUAAUUGAAUAUUUGUUAAAAAUGGAAAACUUGAAAUAGUAUUAUUUAAAAUAAUUUUAAAAAAUGUUAGGUACAUGACUGAUUGAUUUGUAAUUUAUAUAUUAAAUAAUUUCAUAUAUAAUUAUAAAAGAUAGUUUUUAAAAUAUUUAAUUAUUUAUCAUUAUAGUUUAGGGUUUAAUAUAUAUGCAGUUUAGGGUAUACGGUUAAUUUAAGAUUUAAGGUCGGUUUAAGAGCUACAAUUUUAACGUUUAUAUAGAUUAUGGAAUUAUGGAUUCUGGUUAAUUUAAGGGUUGUAAUUUAGGGGUUAUAGAUUAAGAGUUAGGGAUUUAAGGUUUAUGGAUUCGGUGUCAGGUUAGGCUUUAGGGUUUAGAUUAAUUAGUGUGUUUUAAUUUUUAUAAAAUAUGGUUUAAGGGUUAGGGGGUAGGGGGUAGGGAUUUGGGUUAGGAUUUAGGGUUUUGAUUAAUUAAUAUUUUUUAAUUUAUGUAUUAAAUAAGGUUUAGGGUUAGUACAAGUUAGGGUCGGGGUUAGUGGUUUAAGGGUUAGAAGAUAAGAGUUAGUGAUUUAGGGUUUAAAAAUUCGGGGUCAGGUUAGGCCUAUUGGGAACUUUAGUGGCGCUGCAAAAUUUUUAUUUUAUUUAAGGGUUUACGUUAUAGAAUAUAUGAUUUAAUGUCCAUGGUUUAGAGUUUUAGGGAUUACAGUUUAAUGUUUAUUAUUUUGGGUUAAUAGUUUAUGUGUUAGAGUUUGUGUUUAGGGUUUAAGGAUGCUGUUUAAAAAUUGAAGAACAUUUAGAUUUUACUAAAGAUUCAUGCAAUUUAAUAUAUGAAUAUAAAAUAUAUGUUUUGUACAGUAACAUUGGCCACGCAAUUACCCUAAAAUAUGGUUUAGGAAUAUUACGGUUUGGGACUUUUGGUUUUGACUUUUACUGUUUGGGGCUUUAGGGUUUGGGGUUUGAGGUUUGGGGUUUUUGGUUUGGGGUUUGGGGUUUGGUUUUUGAGGUUUAAGGUUUAGAAAUUAUAAUUUAAGCAGGUUUAAAACGCGAAUUUAUUUUCUUUAAAUGUAUUACUCUCUCAUUUUUUUAUUAUUAAUUUUUCCAUUUUAUAACUUUGGUUUUAAUUUUGGAUCAAUUUAACUUCAAUCUUGGAUGACACUAUUUUGACAACUCACGUGCUAGUAUAUUUGUAUUCUAUUCUUAGCGUAUAUAUAAUUUAAAAUAAAUUAUAAAUAUUUUUAAAUUUUGUAGAAAUUUUAAACUUUUUUUGCAAUGAAAGCCGUUAGAGGCAUUUAUCUCAAAACGCUGGAAAGAUUAUUUAACGUUAAGUAAAACUGCAUCGUUUCCUGUCACUGGGAAGGGGAACGGCGCCGUUUUGUUCAUCCGUAUUCGCGGCACUUUGAAAAAUGCCGCCAAGUUGGAUUAGGAGCUAAUGAAACUGCGUCGUUUUACGUUGCUAUUAGUGGCGCUUUCCAUGAAACGCCGCAAAAUUGUAUUUAUGUUUAUUGAAAUGUUGUCGUUUUUGUCUAUUGUAUUAGUGGCAUUUUUCGGAAACGCCACAACAUUGGGUAAACUGUUGGGGAAACGGCUUCGUUUUGACUUAUAGUUAGUGGCGCUUUACUUGAAACGCCGCAAAAUUGUUCUAACAUUUGUUGAAACGUUGCCGUUUUGUAAAUGUAAUUAGUGGCGUUUUUGAGAAAACGCCAGGGGUUUGAGGUAAGUGUUGAUGAAGCGACCGCGUUUUGAGUUAUUGUUAGUGGCGCUUAGUUUAAAACGCCGCAAAGUUUUGACCUAUAUUUUAUGGCGCUUUGCUUAAAACGCCGCAAAAAUGUUUUUCAAUGUUUGAUUCGAUGCCGUUUAUCUAUAUUAUUAGUGGCGUUUAUAGGGAAACGCCACAUUUUUCAGCUGUUUGUUGAUGAAACGACCGCUUUUCAAUUAAAUUUAGUGGCACUUUGAUGUAAACGUCGCAAAUGGAUAUUUUUUUAGAUGAGAACGGCGUCGUAUUUUUUCCAUCAGUCUGACCAAAUAUUACACCCGAUAUUUCUCCAUCACUUAUCCCCCAAAUACUCAUUCUCCCCCAAAUCCCUAAAAUUUCCCCUAAUCCCUAACAGCCCCCCAAACCCGACCACCUGCUACUCUGCCAUCUUCUGUGCUGCAUCACUCCGUCCGUCCGUUUCUGGCGCCGCAACCAUCGGUAAGUUUGAGUACUUCGUUCUUCGUUCUUUUUCUUCAUGCGUUAAUGUCUCUCUGUUGCUUCUUCAUUGCUGUUGUUUUGACUCCUUCCUCAUAGCAACCCACGCUUUCAAUCUUUCAACUUUCCCAGAAACUCCAAGACUGAAACCGAGGAGAAGACGCUGCACUUAGUAAUUUCGGAUUCCAUCUUCAGUUUUGGGCAAUACCCUUUCCAAGGUAUAACGCUGUCGGUAUUAAUUUCAUCAUUUAAAAUUAGUGGCUUUGGGUCCUUAGUUCUGAUAUGGUUACUUUUAUUGGACUCGUUGAUGCUCAAAAAUCGGUCCUUUAUGCGUAAAUGGGUCGAUGCUUUUGAUUAGUUUGAUAGUGGGUUUAGGGUACCACGUGUUUCUUUUAUGUGAAAUGCCUUUAGUUUGCUAUAUAUAUAUGGCGUGGAAAAGUUAUUGGCAUCUGUUAUAUCUAAUGAAUUUCUUUUAAAAACUUUUCAAUGGGAAUCUUUUUUGUUAAAGAAAAACCAUUCUUCUGUUUGAUUAUAAUGAAUAUAUAUAGGCUUCCUUUUAUCAUUUCUGAUUUGGUUUGAUUUUGUUGUAACUUGUUAUAACCAAACUGAAAUCCGAAUUCAAUUGCUAUAAGUGCCUAACUGUUAUUUUGUAGUAAUGGAUUUAGAGUUAAAGUGUUUUAUUUUUUUCCUGUUUAUUUGGGUGUAAUUUUCAUAUGUUUUCCUUUUUUUUUGUAGUAUUUACUCCUAUUUUAAAUUUAUUUUGCAUGCAUUCCAAUUUUAGAUGAAGUGGUUGUAUGUUUGAAAUCGAAGUCAAUAUUUACUUUCAUAUUUCUUUCAUGCCAUUCCCAUCAAUCAUUUCAGCACUAGGCAUGAAUUCAAAAUUGUUCAGGUAUCCUGCAAAUGGCAUUGUUGAUAAGGAUGCAAAAUUUGUUUUCUGAUGUUAAUAUAGCCUUGAUUUUUCUCAUGUAUAGUUGUCAGUUGUUAUGGGUAAAUUUUAUAUAAUUUUAUUUAAUUUUAUAAUUAUUCGAAUAUAUAUUCAUAAUUAUACUGUAUUUAUAAUUAUCGAUUUUCAAUUUAUCAAUUUACAAUUUUAUUUCAAUUAAUAAAUGUUUAAUAAUCAAUUAAUAAAUUGAUCGAUUAAUUGAUUGAAUGUCAAUGAAUUAUCAAUUUUGGUUAGUUAAUUGAUUGAAUGUUUAAUAAAUUCAUUAUAUAAUGAAUUCUCAAAAAAUUAUUACUUGAUUGCAUGUUUAAUAUAAAUAACUUAUUAUGAUAUAUAUUUUAAAGUUAAUAUAUAAUUUCAAUAUUUAUUAUAUUUUUAAAUAUAUUUUUACAAUUUAAUUUAACUUAUUGAUAAUAUAUAUAUUGUUAAGUAAUAUUUUUUUAAAAUUGAUAUCUUACAUUACUUAAAUAUAUAUUUUUAAGUAUAUUCUACAUGACUUACAUAUUACUUACUAAAACAUAUUUUUUACUAAAAUUUACUUUAAUAUAUUACUUGAAUAUAUUACUUAAAUAAUUUACUUAAAUACAUUACUUACUAAAAUUUUUUUAAAUUUUAAAUACAUUACUUGUUUAAUAUAUUACUUACUAAAAUUUAAGUAUAUAUUACAUUCCUUACAUAACUUGUUAAAAUAUAUUAUAAUUUCAAUAUUUAUUAUAUUUUUAAAUAUAUUUUUACAAUUUAAUUUAACUUAUUAAUAAUAUAUAUAUAUUCUUAAGUAAUAAUUUUUUAAAAUUUAUAUCUUACAUUACUUAAAUGUAUAUUUUUAAGUAUAUUUUACAUGACUUACAUUACUUACUAAAACAUAUUUUUUACUAAAAUUUACUUGAAUAUAUUACUUAAAUAAUUUACUUAAAUACAUUACUUACUAAAAUUUGUUUAAAUUUUAAAUACAUUACUUAAAUAUAUAUUACUUACUAAAAUUUAAGUAUAUAUUACAUUACUUACAUAACUUGUUAAAAUAUAUUAUAAUUUCAAUAUUUAUUAUAAAUAAGAUACAUAAAAGUGACUGACUAUUAAUAUUUACUUACAUAAUUUAAUUUUGUAUUUACAAGAACUUACAUAACUUAUUAAUAUUCAAUAAACUUAUAUAACUAUCACACAUACACUUAUUAAACUUACAUAAUACAUGACUUAUAUAAAAUUCUCAAAUAAACUUACAUAAUACAUUAGUUAUAUAAUAACUUAUAUAAACUUACAUAAUACACAUUACUUACAUAGCAUACAUAACUUACAUAAUACACAACUUAAAUAGCUUACUUAAUACAUAACUUACAUAACUUAGACACGUACAUAACUUACAUAAUUUACUUAAUACAUAAAUAUAUAUCAUAUGAUAUAUAUUUAAAAAAACUCAUUUGUAGUUACCACUGAACAACUUACCCUUGUAAUUUCUGGUGAAAAUCAAACAUCAAGAAAUAAGAAAUGGACCGGUCUUGGAUGAAUUUGUCAAGGGUAAGCGACGGUUAUCGAAAUGGAGUACAGACUUUUCUAAAUUUUGCAUUUCAAUAUGCAAGCCAGGAGAACAUGAUUCUUUGCCCAUGUAAGAAGUGUGUCAACAUAAACUGGCAUUAUCGUGAAGUUGUAUACGAGUAUCUAAUUGUUGAUGGGUUUGUUCGGGGUUAUAAACAAUGGCUUUUUCAUGGAGAAUGCCCGCCUAGUACUUCCUCUUCAAGGAUGGAUGUAUCUUAUGACAGUACUACUUACCACCAGUCUGUUAGAGGGGAUGACAUGGAAGGGAUGUUGCGGGAAGCAUUUAAUAUUCACAAUCAUGGUUUACAGUCGUUCCCAGCCGACUUUGUUGCAUCUGAUGAUUGUAAUAUUGGUGGAAAUGCUUUUACCGAACCUGGAAGAAGUGUACAUCAUGAAGAGCCGAAUGGAGAAGCGGUGAAGUUCUACGCGCUACUUAAUGACAUGAAUGAAGAACUGUUUGAGGGAUCAAAAUUCUCAAAAUUAUCUUUUUGUAUUCGUCUUUUCCAGUUAAAGUGUUUGGGAGGGUGGACCGGGAACUCUUUAACAAUGCUGUUAGAGUUUUUGAGAGAGAUGUUUCCGUUUGCAAAAAUCCCUUAAUCAUGCAAAGAUAUGAAGACUAUGAUAAAAGACUUAGGUCUUGGGUACACCAAAAUCCAUAGUUGCCUGAAUGACUGCAUGUUGUAUUGGGGCGAUCGAAGAAACCAGUAGUGCUGUCACAUAUACGGCCAAUCACGUUGGAUAAAUAGAAACACAGAAGAUAGGAACGACGAUGAAAAUGAUGCACAGCCAAGAAAGAAGCCGGUCAAGAUUUUACGGUAUUUUUCGCUCAUACCAAGGGUUCAAAGGCUUUUCAUGUCGUCGAAGAUAGCGGAGUCUAUGACGUAGCACCAUGAUGGACGAACCGAUGAUGGGAAGAUGAGGCAUCCGGCAGAUUCUUUAGCUUGGAAAUCAUUUGACAAUAAAUUUCCAAGCUUUGCAAGUGAUCCUAGGAGUGUAAGGCUUGGCUUAGCAUCUGAUGGAUUUAAUCCGUACAAGAUCAUGAGUACUGCGUACAGUACUUGGCCAGUAGUGCUUGUUCCUUACAAUCUGCCUCCGUGGAUUUGCAUGAAGCAAUCUUCCCUUAUCUUAUCUAUGAUUAUCCCUGGAGAGAAAGGGCCCGGGAAUGAUAUCGACAUUUAUCUACAGCCACUUAUUGAAGAGUUAAAACAAUUGUGGACUGGUGUCGAGACAUACGAUGUGCUGAGAAAGGAGAACUUUAAUUUACGUGCAGCUUUGAUGUAGACCAUUAAUGACUUUCCCGCUUAUGCCAAUUUAUCUGGUUGGAGUACCAAGGGUCGUUAUGCGUGUCCUUGUUGUGCUGCACAAACAUGUUCGCAAUGGUUGUACAAUGGGAAGAAGUUCUCUUACAUGGGGCACCGUUGGUGGUUACCGAAAAAUCAUAGAUUUAGAUUUCAGAGUUCUGUAUUUGACGGCACUGAAGAGUUCAGAGAAGCUCAUUCGCAGACCAGUGGCUCUGAAAUCUUGUUCAUGUUGGAAUAUAUGAAUUUCAUUUAUGGGAAGAUGAACCAACCGUCAGACACGCAAAGAAAUAGAAGAUCCAAUGAUGAAGCUGAUGAUGACUCUGAUGAAGAGGACGAUCCUAAUGAGGCGGACUUGUGGAAAAAAAGAAGUAUUUUUUUUGAGUUGCCUUAUUGGGAGCAUCACCUUCUACGACACAAUCUUGAUGUUAUGCACCUUGAGAAAAAUGUCUGCGAGAACAUUGUGGGUACAGUUUUGAAUGUCGACGGAAAAUCAAAAGACAAUCUUCAAAGUCGACUUGAUUUAGUCCAAAUGGGAAUCUGACCUGAUCUUCAUCCCAAUCCACUUCCGAAUGGGAAAUAUCGGUUGUCACCUUCUAUAUUUUCAAUGUCCAAGACGGAAAAAGAAGUGUUCUGCAAGGUGUUGAAGGAUAUAAAGGUUCCAGAUGCGUAUGCAUCGAAUAUAUCUCGAUGUGUUAGUGUUAAAGAUCGAAGAUUAUAUUCGCUAAAAUCACAUGACUAUCACAUCUUGAUGCAAGAUUUACUGCCAGUGGCUCUACGAUGUUGUAUGUCCAAGAAGGUGACGUCUUGUAUAAUUGAACUAUCCAACAUAAUGAAAGCCAUUUGUGGUAAAGUUUUGGACGUUCAAGAACUUCAGAAGGUACAGGAUCGAGCCGCUUUGACUUUAUGCAACCUGGAGAAAAUCUUCCCACCUUCCUUCUUCACUGUUAUGGUUCACUUGAUAAUCCAUCUCCCGCACGAAGCAAUUCUUGGCGGACCCGUUUUCUAUCGAUGGAUGUAUCCCAUAGAAAGGUGUUAAUUAAAAAAGUAUAAGUUUUCCUUCAUUCACCUCUAUGCCUUUACUUUCAAUAAUUAAGAAAUGUUGUAUAUUCUGUUUAGGUUUCUAUCCAAAUUAAAGUNNNNNNNNNNNNNNNNNNNNNNNNNNNNNNNNNNNNNNNNNNNNNNNNNNNNNNNNNNNNNNNNNNNNNNNNNNNNNNNNNNNNNNNNNNNNNNNNNNNNNNNNNNNNNNNNNNNNNNNNNNNNNNNNNNNNNNNNNNNNNNNNNNNNNNNNNNNNNNNNNNNNNNNNNNNNNNNNNNNNNNNNNNNNNNNNNNNNNNNNNNNNNNNNNNNNNNNNNNNNNNNNNNNNNNNNNNNNNNNNNNNNNNNNNNNNNNNNNNNNNNNNNNNNNNNNNNNNNNNNNNNNNNNNNNNNNNNNNNNNNNNNNNNNNNNNNNNNNNNNNNNNNNNNNNNNNNNNNNNNNNNNNNNNNNNNNNNNNNNNNNNNNNNNNNNNNNNNNNNNNNNNNNNNNNNNNNNNNNNNNNNNNNNNNNNNNNNNNNNNNNNNNNNNNNNNNNNNNNNNNNNNNNNNNNNNAUCUUUUUAUGAAUGGUUAAGCCAAACGGUAUGCAGUUCGAGCUUCCGCUUACAAAUAAUAAUGUUUUCUCAUAACAUUUUUAAUUACUCAGUUUACUUUCCAUUCAAUAGGUUUGGAGUGGGAAGAACGUAAACGACGAUGUUAAAUGGCUCUCCCAAGGUCCAAAUCGAGUGGUUAAAAGAUAUAGUGCGUUCCUCAUCAACGGAUUCAGAUUUCAUACAAAAUAUCACGAGAGGUUGAGGAGAACGCAAAAUUGUGGAAUAGUUGUCAAUUCUGCAAUUACAAGUUAUGCUAGUGCUAGGGACAAUAAUCUUGUCGAGGGAAAUGUGGAAUAUUUCAGACAUCUUACUGACAUAAUUGAGUUGGAUUACUACGGCAAAUGGAAAGUUGUCUUAUUUCGUGGUGAUUGGGCCGAUGUUAAUACAGCUCGUGGAAUUAAGCAAGAUCAAUUUGGUUUUACAAUGGUGAACUUUGACCUAUUGAUUCACACAGGACAACAACUGAUAAAUGAGCCGUAUGUAUUCCCAUCUCAAGUCAAACAAGGUUUUUACUCAAAAGAUCCAACUGAUGAGGGUUGGUACGUUGUACUCUAUAACAUCCCUAGAGACUUGUUUGACAUGGGCAGUGGAACUAGAGAUAACAUCGACAACAGAUCAGUAACUUUGCCCUUUCCAGAACAAAACUUAAACGAUAAUAUCCCUAGUACUAGUGCACAAUUUCAAUGGGUUCGUCAGGAUACCGAUGCAGAUAUUUACGAAUAAUGAUGUAGUAAGAUUUUACGAUUGUUUAAUUAUAUGUAAUAUCAUAAUUUAAAUCUUGGUCUUAUUAUAUAUUUCAACUAUUUUAUAUGUGCUGUUAUUGUUGUAAUUAGUUAUCCCGUUGUCAACUAUUUUAUGUGUAUUGCAGAUAAAAUGCCUAGAAGAAAAAUUCUAAGGGGAAGCAUUGUUCAAAAUAAUCCAAACUCGACAGAAACAAAUAGUACUGAACAACAGACAGCAGUUGGAUCUUCGAAUGCUCCGAUUACAGCUGAGGAUCCUACAGAAGUUCAAAGUAAGUUUACAUUUAAUUUACAUGCGUGUUGACUUAUAGUUGAUUUAUUUUUCAAAUUCUUAUGUUAUAAUAUACCAUUUGUAGCUGAAAAUGGUGGGACGCGCAGAGGUCGAGGACAUACGCUACUUAGAGAGUUAUAUGAGUUAGAUCCAGUCGAGCGUGUCAAAGUUGGACGAAACAGUUUUGGUCAACCUGUUGGAUCAGAAGCUCGACUUUUAGCAGGAUACAUGGGCAUUUUAGCACGAAAUCCGAAUAUGUUGCCUAUCAACUACGAGUCAUGGCAUCAAAUGCCCGAUAGCAACAAAAACCAAGCCCUCGAUAAUAUUAAGGUAACAAAAUAUUAAUGCCAUCUGUAAUGCUUGGGAAAUAGUUUCAUUUAUAUUUACUUUAUUAACUUGUGUUUUUUGUUUUUUGUAGGUGAGGUUUGCUUUAGAGGUCUCGGAUGAUUACGUAAAGAAGGCAUUGGGAAAAAUAUGGAGAGACAAUAAAAGUACUUUGAAGAAAAAUUAUUAUAAAACAAAAACAACCCUCGAUGAGAAAUUGCAAAAUGUCCCGCCGGGUAUGUUGAGGUACCAAUGGGAAGAUGCGGUUAGAUUUUGGCAUUCGAAGAAAGGCGAGGUAUGACGUACUUCCAAACUAUUGUAAUUAUUUUGGUUUAUAGUAUUUUCUAUUUACGUACUAAAAUUUUGAUAAUGUAGGAUCAUGAAAAAGUUGGAAAAAGCAGCAGGCAGAAACAAAAAUUCACCCACACAGCCGGGUCAAGAAGUUUUGCAUGUGUAGCUGAGGCGGAGGUAUUUUUAAUUUAUUUAAUAUUGUCGAAUAUGUAUAACAUUCUAUUAAAUAAUAUUUAUACUACCAUAUUGUAGGAACUGUCGUCCGGUCAAAAAGUUGGACGCCUUCAACUUUUUGAAAUUACACAUAGGAAGAAAGAUGGAUCUCCCAUGACUCCUGAAGCCGGUGAAAUAAUGGUACGUUUACUUAAUACGAUUUGACUUAUUUUAGUUAUUUUUAGUGUUUAUUUUCUAAUGGUUUAAUUCAUUGCUUGUAAUGCGACUAUUGUUAUGUUGCAUAUGUUUUUUAAUAUAUAAUAUUGCGUUCCUAACUAUGUGAUUUAUUUAUUAGGAAAAACUAAAGGAUAAAAAGGCGGAGUACGAAGCGAUUGCUUCUAGUGAUAGUUCUAUUCAUCUUGAAGACAUUGAUAACCGAAUUAUUACUGAAGUUUUGGGUCCUGAAAGGUAUGGUCGGGUUCGAUUUCAAGGAUCUUUUGUUAGCCCAACCCAAUAUUUUGGAUCCAGCUCCCACCAAUACAUGGCUUCGGGGAGUCAGGCUCAAGCUGAAGUUCAGAGGUUGAAAGACCAGAUGGCUGAGAUGCAAGCGACCACAGUUGAGGUUCAAAGGAAAUAUGAAGAACUCCAGCUACAACUUAAAGCAGAGGCGGCAGCGAGGGAAGCAGAGGCCGCAGCGAGGGAAGCAGAGGCUGCAGCCAGACAAGCAGAGCAGACCAAAAAGUACGACGAACUCCAGCAACAGCUUCAGACUGUGAUGAAGAUGUUUCAGUCGUAACUUCCGCCUUCAUAGUGUAUGACAUAAAUAUUUUUAUCAUUUUAACAUUUAAAAUUUUUGCAAAAAUACUAUGAAUUCACUUUUAUUUAUUGAUAUUAAUAUUAUAUAAAUUCACUGUGAUGAAUUCACUUUUAGCGGCGUUUUUUUUCUAAGCGCUGCUAAAGAACAUGGUCUUUACCGGCGUUUUUGUUUGUAAACGCUGCAAACGUUUGCGACGUUUUCGUUAGCGGCCUUUUUUGCGGCGCUUAGUGGCGUUAAAAAGCGCCGCUAAAGGCCUAAAAAAACGCCGCUAAAGACCUGUUUUGGUGUAGUGGAAGAAAGAAAAAGAAAGAAAGAAAAGGAAAGGAGAAGAAAGAAAAAAAAAAAGGAGAAGAAGAGGGAAGGAAGGAAAAAGAAAGGAAAAAAGAAGUAAAGGUAAUUUUUUUGUAUUAAUUUUUUUUUGUAAUAUUUGUGUAAAAAAUGUAUGUGUUUUAUUAUUUUAUUUAGAAUAUAUAUUUUAUGAAAUUUAUUUAGCAUGAAAAAAUCCAUGUUAUAUACAUUCUAUGUUGAUUAGAAUUUUUUUUGUGAAAUUUAUUUAGGAUGUUGUAAUUAGUUUUUUUUAGGAAAAUAGCAUUAAAAAUAAAAUUAUAAAAAAAUAUGUUUAAGAAAACAUAAAAUACGAAAAGAAAAAAAACGGAAAUUGUAUAUUCAACGAAAGUAAUAAAAUCCGAAAAAAAUUGUAUAUUUAAAAAACACACUAAAUUAAUAAAUUUCAAACAUAAUGUACUAAAAUAAUGUAAAAUAAUAAAAUUAAAAAAUAUGAUUUUUUUAAAGUAAUAAAACACGGGAGAAAAAUACGAACAAAGGGCCGAAGUAGGGGUUUUUUACUAAAUUUUAAAAAAAUAAAAAAAAAAUUAAUACAUUUCAAACAUAAUGUACUAAAAUAAUGUAAAAAAUAAAAUACAAAAAUAAUAUAUUUUAUUAAAAGUAAAAAUAGGGAAAAAAAAUACGAGCAAAUGGCCGAAAUAAGGUUUUUUUUAAAUUUAUUUAAAAACACAUUAAAUUUAUUUAAAUUUCAAACAUAAUGUACUAAAAUAAUUUAAAAUAAUAAAAUUAGAAAAUAUGAUAUAUUUUAAAGUAAUAAAAUUCGGGAAAAAAUACGAACAAAGGGCUAAAAUAAGGGUUUUUUAUUAAAUUAAAAAAAGAAAUAAUUAAUACAUUUCAAGCAUAAUGUACUAAGAUAAAUUAAAAUAAUAAAAUAUGAAAAUAAUAUAUUUUUAUUGAAAGUAAUAAAAAUCGGGAAAAAAUAUGAGCAAAGGGCCGAAAUAAGGGUUUUUUAAUUUAUUUAAGAAACACACUAAAUUUAUUUAAAUUUAAAACAUAAUGUACUAAAAUAAUAUAAAAUAAUAAAAUUAUAAAAUAUAAUAUUUUUUUAAAGUAAUCAAAUUCGGGAAAAAAAUACGAACAAAGGGCCGAAAUAAGGAUUUUUUACUAAAUUUUUUUAAAAAAGAAUUAAUUAAUACAUUUAAAACAUAAUGUACUAAGAUAAAGUAAAAUAAUAAAAUACAAAAAUAAUAUAUUUUUAUUUAAAGUAAUAAAAUUCGGGAAAAAGUUCCGAGCAAAGGGCCAAAAUAACGGUUUUUUUUAAAUUUAUUUAAAAAACACACUAAAUUUAUUUAAAUUUCAAACAUAAUGUACUAAAAUAAUGUAAAAUAAUAAAAUUAGAAAAUAUGAUAUUUUUUUUAAAGUAAUAAAAUUCGAGCAAAAAAUACGAACAAAGGGCCGAAAUAAGGGUUUUUUUAAAUUUAUUUAAAAAACACACUAAAUUUAUUUAAAUUUCAAACAUAAUGUACUAAAAUAAUUUAAAAUAAUAAAAUUAGAAAAUAUGAUAUUUUUUAAAGUAACAAAAUUCGGGAAAAAAUACGAACAAAUGGCCGAAAUAAGGUUCGUUUACUAAUUUUUUUUUGAAGUUGCAGGCAUCGCAAUGGCUUCAUUGAUUAGCAGGGAUACACACAUCUGAUGCGGCUAAUGAGAUGGUAAUAUAUUAUUAUUUGUUAAUCACGGGUUCUAUUAAAAAAGGAUAUAAGUAAUAUAUAGAAAUAAAUCAUGGUAUCCUAAUUGUUUCUGUAAUUUAACACUAUCAGGACUCGUAUCGAGUAAUAAGGGGUCGGGUGAAUGGUUUAAAGCAUCCCCCGAAUUCACUAUUGAUGUCGUACUUGGAGCAAGCCUGAUUUGGGUCAGCAGCAUUGAUCCGGACGUUCGACUUGCGGUAUGAUUUAUUAUCUGCGAUAGUGGAGCGGUGGCGCCCGGACACCCACACUUUUCAUUUUCUGUGUGGGGAGUGCACGGUGACCUUAGAGGAUGUUACGCUGCAGCUUGGACUCCCAAUCGACGGAAGUCCCGUAAAGAGAGUAAGUUCAUUUACUGAUCCAGCUGCACUAUGUAAUCAGCUAAUAGAAGACUCGCCAAACGACGAUGACGAAAAUUUUACGAGCUUGAAAUUUACAUGGCUGAAAGCCAAAUUUGGACAGUUAUCAACGAAUGCCACUGAAGGUGAGUUGAUGUGCACUGCUCGAGCGUACAUCAUGCAUAUCCUAGGGGGAGUACUGAUGCCCGAUGCAAACAACAACAAGGUGCAUAUGAUGUACUUGCCCCUAUUAGCUGAUUUGUCCAAUGUUCGCUCGUAUAGCUGGGGCUCCGCCGUUCUAGCAGUGUUAUAUCGGAAGCUUUGUCGGACGACAAAGCCUUCUGUUGUAGACAUGGGCGGAUGCCUUACAUUGCUGCUGUCCUGAGCGCUCCAUCGGAUGCCAUUUUUGGCAUCGGUUACUCACCAACCGUAUGUUUAUCCACUAGUGAACAGGUGAUAAAAUAUAGCUUGUCAUUAUUUGUAGUCAUAGUAUAUUGAAUGAUGUUACCAACCCUAAACCCUAUAUUUCUUUUUGUAGGUGAAGUAUUUAUCCGGGUAUUGGGAGGUCGCACACUAUCCCGAUAUACCGACUCAUGAUCAAAUAGCAUGCCGGGAAAGGGGUAAGCUAUUCUAAUAUUAGUCUAUUUACCUUACUCACACCGUGUUAAAUUUAUAUGGAUGCCAUAUAUGGAUGCAGUUUAUAUGGAUGCCAUAUCGUCGCCCGAAAAUUACAGCUGUGAUACCCUCGUCUGCACACGUUCAUUCUGAAAUGUGGUGCACUAAUGCACCAAUUAUAAAUUUCAAUGUAGUCGAGUGGUAUCACGGGGAUCGGGUGCUACGACAGUUUGGUUGCAUCCAAUAUAUAUCCUGGAUCCACCAUGCGAGGUGGGGGCGGUUCACGGCAUGAAUAGGAGAGGAAAACCACAGUUGGAUUGGGGGUUAAGCACUAAAAAUUUAUUGCGCUGUGGAACGAUCGGAUAGUUCGAAGACCUCAGAUGGUUUUGGCAUAUUCAUUGCAACCAUUAUUAGAGUACAUACAAUGGUACUAUAAUUGCGGAAAGCAAUAUAUACUUGGAGGCCAGUCGACUGUAGCCCCCCGCACAUGCAGCUACCUGGGGGAUCGUGAUCCUGAACCAGAUCCCGAGCCGUAGCCCGAGCCAGAUCCCGAGCAGUCACAUUCACAUAGGGAUUCACAAUCCUAUCAUCCGAAUUUGGUGGGCGAUGAGUAUAUUCCGAGCUUCUUAGGGGGUGAAUACGCAUACGAGUUUGAUCUCUUUGGAUCCUACCCGCCGCAGUACGACACUCCCAGCCCGUACCUACAGCAUCAUGGGACUUCUUUAGGUUCAAGUUCAUCGAUGCCGAUUGAGCCACAUGAUUUUUCUUCUAUGUUUACCAUACCCCCUGCGCCAAAUGAGGACGUUGGUCGUCGCCAACACCCAGAACGUGACCGUCGACCUCCGCAUAGGUAUACCCCUAGGACCACACCAUCAAACCCUCAGUUCUAAGGGUUUAUUGCACUUUUUUGUACAUUACAAAGUUUGUACUUAUUGUAUAAAUUUAAUUACUUAAUUUAUUACACUUUUUAUAACUUAAAUUGGAUACAAUUUAAGCAUAAGCAUAAGCUGAAUAAUUUUAAUUAUUCCAAAUGAAUCAUGUUUUUAAUACCUUAAUUUGGAUACAAUUUAAGCAUAAGUAUAAGUUGAAUAAUUUUAAUUAUUCCAAAUGAAUUAUACUUUUUACAACAUUAGGUCAAUUCUGACCCGAUCCUGAUGACUGUCCGACAUGAUAGUUUCGCUGAGGGCAUUUAUUUUGACUAUGACCACUUAACCUGCAUAAUCCACAACGCUUACCGUCGAAUUUCUCCCUAAUGUCCAUUUCAUUAUGGAUUCUGGUUGAUUGCGAACGACCUCUUGGAUUCCUGCGUAGCCCUCUGUCUAGGAUAAACUUGAAAGUCGUUAGAGGCAACUCUCACGUAGACAGGUCAGGCAAGACGGGGAACUCAUUUUCCUAGACACGUAAUGUGCGCUCGAGCGUGUACACAUCAUCGACAUAUUUUUCAACAUUAAGGUUCACUUUAGCACACGCUGCCACGACAUGCGCACAUGGAUAAUGAAGUGUUUCGAACUCCUGCACUCGCACCUUCUGUUCCAGAUAUCAACUCCAUAAGACCUAGGUGGUAUACCAGGUCGACGACCGAUGGUCUCAGUAACUCGAAACGUUUCCAGACGUCGUGAAUAUAUUUCUACAUUCAUGGACCUCGCCAUCCGACGGUUUGCAACCAUUGCAUCCCUGACAUCUUCGACAAACACAUGUCCUGCCUCCAUCUAGUCAACUUGUUGCUGACUCAUUCUUGGCAUCAAGGUAGCCAACCUGUAGAAUAUAGCAGAGAAGACAGAUGCAAUCGGAUGAUGACGUGUUUUUAACAAUACAUCGUUUACCCCCUCCACUAAGUUUGUGGUCAUUUUUCCAUAACGAAAGCCCUCGUCAAAACAUUAAGCCCAUUGCCAACCCAGAAAGAUGUGUUUAUUUGCCCCUCUAUGUCACUCUCAAGUCGAAUCAUGCUUUGGCGGAAAAUAUGUGGCUCUAACUCGUACGCUGUAUAUAGGGGUGAGCAUUCGAUCGAAUCAAAUCGAAUCGAAUCGAAAAUUUUCGAGUUAAUCGAGUUUUCGAAUAUCAUUUUAUCAUCCUAACUUUAUUUGAAGUUUUAUCGAAUCGAAUCGAGUGAGAUGGAGAUCGAAUCGAAUCGAAUUAUUUGUUCGAGUUAAGUUUAAAAAUAAAAUAAAAUUAUUGUUGUUUAUUUUUAUGUAAUUUUUUAAAAAAUAAUUUUCUUUAAAGUUUUUAAACAUAAUCAUACAACAAAAAAUUGAAGUAAAUAAGUGAAUAAAUAAAAGUAACACAACAUCAACCCAAAUAAACAACAUGAUUCCAAAUAAACAACAAAAAUAAUACAAAAAGAUUAUAAUAAAAAACAUACGUAAAAAUCCAAGUAAAUAGCAUGAGUCAAAAUAAACUAAAUUAGAAAGAACAACAAUAAAUCUGCAGCUUCAAAAUGAUGGCUAUAGUUUGAUGAUGAUUGGUGCAUACAAAAAUAAUUGACUGCAAACUUAAGAACUAAAAGAUUCUUAUUUUUUGUGUUGGUUAUGUUUAGUACCAGAGAUGAUAUCAGUUCUUUCUCACCACCCCCACAAGAAAAGCUUAAGAACUAAACAAUAAGUAGUGAAAAUAAAAGGGAAUUCCACUCUCUCCCUGCAAACUUAAAGAAAACUCAAGCCUGCUCUGCUUUGAUAUACCUUAGAAAUCAAAAAAAUGGAAAAACAGUAGCUCUACUGAACUUUGUAACUAGUUGUUAAAACAGUGUUUUAAUGUUCAAAUAGUUAUUUAUAAGCACUUGAUUAGGUAAAAAAUGCCAAAUACAAAGAUGUGAAAUAUGUAUAGAAAUGAUAUUAAAUACACAAUUGAAAACUGCUCCCACUUUCCAUUACGUGUGGCCUAAGUUCUCAAAUUCCACAGAUAAUAUAGAUGGUAUUGCCCUAGGGUUUAUGAAUUAAAAUUGAAAAACAACCUAUCACAAAAUGAAGAUGAAAAUCAUGAACACACACACAUAUACAAACCUCCUAAAUUCAAUCACUAAAAUAGUAAAGUCCAUAGCUAGAAUGAACUAAAGAAAAAAAGAUUAAAAAAGAACCCUCUGAUAUCUACUUAAAAUCCCAUUUUUUCAUGGAAAGAAGUAACAAAUAAUAAUUAUUAAAAAUAACCCUUCAAUAUCUAUUUAAAUCCCAUUUUCCCCCAUGAAACAAAACACCCAAUGAUCAUUCAAUCAAAAGAAAUACGAAAUAAAACAAGAAUUAACACCAAGAGAGAAACAAAAAAAGGGGUAUAGAGGUAUACCUUAUGUGAAGAAUCUCAGAUCCUGAAAGCCUGAAUCCAAAAACAAACAGCAAAAAANNNNNNNNNNNNNNNNNNNNNNNNNNNNNNNNNNNNNNNNNNNNNNNNNNNNNNNNNNNNNNNNNNNNNNNNNNNNNNNNNNNNNNNNNNNNNNNNNNNNAAUAGGUUUAAGUUCAGGAAAGAAGAAACCUGUGGCAAAAGAAAGGUAUUUUGGGUGAUGGGUUUAAAGGAACUGAUUUUGCUUUGUUAAGUAGAGCUACUGUUUUUCCAUUUUCUUAAGAUUAUACUUGGGUUGUUUUCAGGCUUUGGUUUAUUUUUGUAUUGUUAUGGGGAAGAAAAGAUAUUACCAAACUGAACAUGUUAAAGAAAAUACAGUGUAAGGAAAGGAAUAAAAGUUAAUAUACCUUAGAAAUCCAAGGUAGAAGACGUAAAAGCACUGGCGGUGGAGCAGUCAGCCGUGGAGGACCCUGGACUGGAGGUGGAUCGGUGGAGAAGGGUGGACGGAGGUGAAGAUUUUUGAAUUGGGAAAAAAGGGAGGAGGGAGGGCACGAGCUUAGUUAGGGAUUUUGGAAGUGAUUUUGUUUUAAAUGUAGUGUAUUUUAAAAAUAAAAAAUAUAUGUAGUAUAUUUUAAAAAUAAAAAAUAUAGUUUUUAUUCGAAUUAUUCGAAUUAUUCGAGUUAUUCGAAUUCGAAAAUUCAACUCGAUUCGAACUCGAAAUUCGAAAGAAAAAAUUUGAAUUGAUUCGAUUAAUUCGAUUAACUCGAUUCGAAUAAUUCGAAAUUCGAAUUUUUUUCGAUUUUUUCGAAUCGAAUCGAAUUUUGCUCACCCCUAGCUGUAUACGUAUUAAGAAAAAAUAAGUUCCAGUAACUCGAUAACAUAAAACAUUACAACUUAUAUUGAAAAGAUAAGUUUAUCAUUUAGCCAUUGCCACGACUUGUCUCUUCCAGUCUGCAUUCUUAUAAUCUUUAUGGAAGUUGGACGCAAUGUGAUGGAUGCCGUAAAUGGAUCUCUAUGGCACACCUAAACGCCUAAUUGCUACAAUUAAACCUUUCCCUCUAUCGGAGAUGAUGCAAAUGUUAUCGUUGCUAAUAACAUACCUCCACAGGUUAGUGAGGAAGAAUUCCCAAGAUUUCAAGUUCUCCUUAUCUACGAUGGCAAAUGCUAUUGGGAGCAUGUUUCUAUUACCGUCCUGAGCAACUGCAAGAAGUAGGAUCUGUGUAUAUUUUCCAUAUAGCCUGGUCCCAUCCACCUGCACAAGUAGCUUGUAGUAGGGAAAUGCCCGCACACAUGAAUCAAAUGUCUAGAACAUCUGAUGGAAAAUCUUUUUUCCCUACUGUAACUGGUCGUCCGGGCCGUAAUAAGGCUUUGUCUGUAACUCAAUCACAGUCCCCAGUACGUACUCCCGCAUAGUAGCUAUCCAUCCUUGUAGCUCGUUAUACGACGAAUCAUAAUUCCCAUACAAUUGCUCCAAUGCCAUCUGUUUAGCUAUCCACGUCUUUCGAUAUGAUACUCGAUAUUGGAAUCGUGCUUGCAUUUUGGCAAUCAGCACCGAAACUUUAAUGGUCAGCAUGUCCUUCACCAUUGGCAUGAUACACAUAUAGAUAGUUUUCGAAUCAAGUUUUCCAUGAUCUUCUGUCAUACGUGUUGAUGUGCAUGUAUGAGGACCAACAAAUUAAGAAAUUGAAAGGAAUUUUCAAAAUGAAAGAAACUGGGGGAGGUGAGGAAGGAAGAAACAUAGAAAUAAAAAUUGUUUCCAAAGGGGAGGGGCUAACCAGAAAUAGGGGAUCGAAGAAAAUACUUCUUCUUCCCUUUUUUCGGAGGAAAAGGUGGGUCCAAGUAAAAUCGAUGAAACAGAAAAACUACGAGUAACUAGAAAGAAAAAAAAUAAAAUUAAGAGUGAACUCAACUUUCGUUUUAAAGAGACAUACUAUAAAAAUAGACCAGUUUAUGAAACUUUUUAUCUGGAUGAGAAUUAAAAAAAAUUGAAGUUAGAAAUAAAAAAAAGAUAAAUAUUUAUAGUAUGGGAUUAUGUGAAUACAAAAUUUGAAAUUAUUUAAUUUUUCAAGAUUCAUGAUUCUCCGUCUCAACAACAUCGUUUUUAAAAAUUCAUGUAUAAAUUCUCUCUCAAAAUGUGAUAUAACUUAUCACGGCAUCCCGUAUUUAUUAGUAUCUUUAAUUAAUAUUUAAUAUUUAUAAACACUAUUUAAGAAAAAAACCAAAUAAUAAUAAUAAUAAUAAUAAUAGUAAUAAUAAUAAUAAUAAGGGUCUCAAUCAUACCAUUUGUGGAAUGACUGUCUUUUUACUAGUAGACAGUGGCACAUUAAGCCUCUCCCAUCAUUCAUGGCAAUGCACUAACUAGCUUAAAAGCUAAAAAACCAAGAGCAGUCACAUUAUUAAAAUUUCAUUUAAUAAUUUAAUUGAUUUAUUGAGUCACUUAUAAAAAUUAUAUAAUUUUCUUUCAUUUUCAAACUAAAGACUCUUUUAAAUAAAAGAAAUAAUUGAUUUUUUAUUUGAAUAAUGAAAAUUUUUAAAUGAGAAAAAUAUAUCAAUUAUUUGAUUUUAUUGUUCUAGAAAGCAUGUAAAAUAAUUUGUGUUUAACAAUUCAAUUUUUCUUUUUAUAUAAUACUUGAAACUAUCCAUAAUUUCUUCUCAAUCGUAAAUAAGAGGACAAAUGCGCUUAAACUCACGUCCUCCUAUUCUGACAAUAAUACCAGUACCAAAUGGACAAUUCAAUUUAAAGACGAAAAUAAAUUUUAAUAAUUCACGUACUUGAAUAAUUUUUUUUAACAUUUCCAUAUUUAAAAUAUUAUAUAUAUAUAUUAAUCAUGUUAAUUAAUAGUUCAUAUUUUAUGCUAUACUUUAAUUAUUUAUGCAAGGUUUAUAUAGUAUAAUUGUAUCUAUCGAGGUGGAUUCUCGUUAGGGCCUAGAAGUUUCUAAAAAUUUUAUUUAAAUCUAUUAAAAUUUUUGAAGAUUUUCACUAAAAUUUGUUGUUCCUCAUACAUGCACAUCAACACGUAUGACAGAAGAUCAUGGAAAACUUGAUUCGAAAACUAUCUAUACGUGUAUCAUGCCAAUGGUGAAGGACAUGCCGACCAUUAAAGUUUCGGUACAGAUUGCCGAAAUGCAAGCACGAUUCCAGUAUCGAAUAUCAUAUCGAAAGGCGUGGAUAGCUAAACAGAUGACAUUGGAGUAAUUGUAUGGGGAUUAUGAUUCGUCGUAUAAGGAGAUUGUAAUAAGCCCAAUUUACCCGGGCCCUUACAAAACAAAAAAUAAGCAGUCUAAGUUUUUACAGGCCCAAACCCCAACAGCCCACUAACUAAAUUCCAACAGGAACCCUAGCAGCAUACAACCUUCAACCCUAGCCGCCGCACAUCAGCCCCGCACCACCACCCUUUGCGCACGUACGUGUCCCACGUACAUCUCCAGUUGGCCGAAUCUGCGCAACAAACGGCAAAACAGACGCAAAGAACAAGUAAACGAAAGAGAAAAACGCAAAAAAAAGAGAGAAUAACGGAAAUACAACUGCGUUGUGUUAUUUCUUUGAUUUUUCUUCAUCUUUCGACUAUAAAAAGUCGAGGAAAAUCUGUAAAAAGGAGGGGGAUUUCACGAAUCAAAUAAAAAACAGAAAAGAAAUUGAUAUCAAGAAGAGAUUUUAGAUUGAAGAUAGAUAUUUGUUUUUUUUUUCUCUUUUUUUUUGUUUUGACUUUUUUUAAAAAAAACUAGUAAGUAAUAAGAAAAAGAAAGGAAAGGACUUACCGGAGGUCCGUGGUCUUCUCGUUGGCCAAAGAUUGCCGUCCUUGGCGGAGCAGUGGCGAAGGAGCGGCGGCACGGCGACAUAAAGAUGCUAGGGUCAAAACCCUAGCAGAGAGAAAGGGGGCAACGGUUUUUUUGUUGUUUUAGAAAGUGGGCUGUCAAAUGAUUUUUAAAACAGAAAAUUUUGUUUAAAUAAUAAGGCAAUACGGUGUCGUUUCAUUAGGCCCCCUAGACGCCCAAAACGGCGUCGUUUUGGGGGCCAACCCAUGCACCGACCCGAUCUGGUCCCAAAUCCGCGUGUUUUGUAGCAUGGGGGAAUUUGCGCAAUUGGUCCCCCUAUUUUUGCAGUGUGUUUAAAUUAAAUUUCUGAUUUCUUUUAAAUUUCACUGCACAUUCUAUUUUUACUUCAAAUCAGUCCCUAUUACUGUGCAGCGUUUUAGGGAGGCGGAUUAUUUCUCUUUUGGUCCUCCACCCUUGCGCGCGCAUUCAAUGUGAUCCUGUUUUCAAAUUUACUUCGAAUUUAGUUUUUUUUAAGUUCAAUUUAACCCUUUUAUAAACUAUUUUAUUCAUUUUUUAUAAUUAUGUUAUACUAUGACAUUAUUAUUAUUAUUAUUAUUAUUAUUAUUAUUAUUAUUAUUAUUAUAUACGCUUGUUUUAAAAUAAUACAUAUACAUUUUUUUUAAAAAGCUUUUAAUACAUACAUAUAUUUUUGUAUAUACAAACAUUUUUUUUUACUUUUUUAAAUAUGAAUAUACGUAUUUUUUAUAUUAUCCUUCAUAGAUUUUUUUACAAACGUAUGUAUAUAUGUAUACCUACAUAUUUUAAUACAUAUUUUAAUACAUUCAUUUUCUAUAGUAUAAAUAUAUAUGUUUUUUGUUUUAAAUUAUUAUAAACAUUUUUAUUAUUUUAUAUAUGCUCCAUUAUUUUAUAUACAUAUUGUACAUAUUUUUAUAUUUUUACUUUAUUUACACAAUUCUCAUAUACAUAUAUGCAUGCAUUUUUAGAAAUUAUUAUAAGUUUUUAUGUAUUUCAUUCCCUUUUUAUAUGUAUACUUAUAUAUGUGUUUUAUAUAUGCAUUAACAUUUUAGCAUGUUUUUAAAGAAAAUAUAUUUUGGUUUCGUCAAAGCAUUAAAAUCGUUUUAUUUUUCUUAAUUUUUUUUAAAUAUUUGGCAAUCGUGAUUCUCGAGAAAGAUCGUGUCCUAACUUACUGGAUUGCGAUUAUUUUUUUUGAUGAAUUUAGAAAACCAAGUAUUUAUUUUGCAAUAAAUUCAUGAAAUUUUCAAAUAAAAGCUUAUUCUCAAGAAUCCAAAAAUGUCGGGUCCUAACUUACUGGUCAUGACAUUCUGGCAUCUCGAAAUAAGAAUUUUCAAAAGCAAAAGGCAAUAUUCUGGUAUUUUGAAGAUUUAAAAAUAUUGUGCCCUAACUCAUUGGGUGUGGUGUUUUAUUUCUUUGAAAUAAGAAUGUCUUAUUAUUUUGAUUCAUUCAUGAGAUAAAAAGUUUCCUUUUAAAAUCUUUUCAAUUUUUCAACACCAAGACAUUAAAGAAUCAAUUUGGUACCAAUUUUGGGGAGUUACGAGGGUGCUAAUCCUUCCUCAUGCGUAACUGACUCCCGGACUCAUUUUCUUAAAUUUCGUAGACCAGAAUCAUUUUAAGGUGAGCCGAUCACACCUUAAUAAAGGAUCGAUGGCGUCUCCAGUUUUUGUUUUUUUUAAGUCGACAACUAAAAUUUUUGUUUACAAAAAAUGGUUUCGACAGCUUGGCGACUCCGCUGGGGACACUAGAGAGUCGAGCUAGAAAUUGAUUCAUUUUUGUCUUGUGAUCAAAAAAUUAAAUUUGGGUUUUAAAAUCAUGAUUUCCCUUCGCAUUCAUUGAUUUUCAUCAUGAUAUGUUUGUUCGAUUGGCCUAAGUCUGUUCGUAUUUGCAUUUUGCAUUGCAUAAGUUGGUCAAAUUUACCCUCUAAGUGGGAGCGAGAAACUAGUCCUUCGUGAGGUUUUCACCUCCGUGCAGGGUAGUGGACCGCUUCCGGGAUACAUCUGUACCUAUGUCUUCGUGAGAUUUUCAUCUCCAUGCAGCCAUAGGGAAAUGUAUCCCCCUGAACUGAACUCGAUUCAUAUGAGCCUAUAAUGGGCGAGGAUCGAGGAAUCUGCUGGUUCGGGUACCCUUACUCUAGAAACUAAACCUCAUAUAGUGAGCUUUAGGAACUUGCCCUAGGUAGAACUAUUCCAAAACCCUAGUGGAUUCUGAAAUAAGUGUUCUUGCUAUUUCAUGUUUGUAUUGGAUUAUAUCUUUAUGUGUGAUACUAACUUGGGUUUGUUUUUGUUUUGACUGCAUGGCAUUUCAUUAUAGAAAAGAGAUGUUGAUUCACGUUUGGUUGUUAAUAGAGAACUUGCCAUGAAAAACGGGUUUCUUGAUAAGGUGGAAGAUAAUAUGGUUGUUCGAGUAUAGUCUAAGAAAAUGUGACACGAAAGGUAAUAGCCUAACAAGAGGAGUAUACGACUUUGCUGCAUGACCUGAGGAUUCAAAUUGUCAAAGUUUAUUCAAAAGUCAUCAAAGGUCCUAAUCUUUUAAAGAAGCUAAUGAACGUGAGUGAGCAAGGAGUUACGACCUAGAUCAAACAAAAAGGAGCUCAAAUUCGCGAGAUGCAUCUUAAAAUCCGAAUGAUCGAUGACUUCUCUUGGAGUACGAGGGUGAAGCCGUAUAGAUAUAGCCGCUUUAUGUAAAGAGAUUUGUUUUCUAGUGAAGUUUUCUAGUAAAGAAUUGAACAUGAAUCAACGUCUCUUUUCGCAUUCAUUUCAUGCAUUUGCAUUACAUUACAUCAUAUGCAUCAAACACCUCUAAAUGAUCCUAAUUAAUUAAAAUCACUGCUCAGUUAACCUGGAAACCAACCAACCAAUCAAACACCAUUAUGGCACUCGAGCAAAGAUUAAAGACAUGGAUCAGAGAUUGGAAAAGCUCGAACAGCACCAGAAAGAAAUGCAAGACCAACUCCAGUUACAAGUGCAGGAGCGGUUAGACAAGAUGCAACAGGAUAUGUCAGAGAAGAUACAGGAAUCCCAAAAUAAUAUGAUGGCAAAGUUAACCCAACUGUUGAAUGGAGGAGGUGAUAAGGGAAAGGGUCCCAUGGCUGAUGUCGAAGAGGGAAAAGAGGAUGAAUCACUCUAUCCUCCAGGCUUUACUCCUUCACAUGUGCGAAGUCAAGCUGAAUAUCUGCACAAAUCUACUGUCACAAUCAGGCCUCAGCAGUUUCGGGCUAGUGUUUCAAACUUCUAAGCUGGAUCGGGUUUUAAUCCCGGAAAUAACCCUAUUAACUCUGCCAUUCCUGACUUUGAUGAAGUGGCUAAAAAAGAAAGAAUAAAGGAAGAGUUACCAAAGCAGUUAGAAGAAAGGUGCAAAUGGCUCGAGGAGAAAUUAAAGGUGAUGGAGGUCACUGAAAGUUAUCGAGGAAUUGAUGCUAAAUAGCUGAGUUUAGUUCCGAAUUUGGUACUCCCUCAGGGUUUUUUACCCAAAUAGGAUAGAAAAAAAAUACUGAAAUGGGAUGUCAGAAAAAAAAUUUACCAANNNNNNNNNNNNNNNNNNNNNNNNNNNNNNNNNNNNNNNNNNNNNNNNNNNNNNNNNNNNNNNNNNNNNNNNNNNNNNNNNNNNNNNNNNNNNNNNNNNNUAUUGUAAUAUUGUAAUUUUGUAUGAAUAUUAUAAUUUUUUAUGAAUAUUGUAAUGUUGUAUGAAUAUUGUAAUAUUAUAAUUUUGUAUGAAUAUUGCAAUUUUUUUGUAUGAAUAUUGUAAUAUUGUAAUUUUGUAUGAAUAUUAUAAUGUGGGGAUAUAUUGUAAUAUUGUAAUUUUUUGUAUGAAUAUUGUAAUUAUUUUAUAAUUAAUUUGUUAGUAAUUUGGGAAAAAUUCACAAUAUUUUGUUCACCAUUGGCGCCUCCCAAAUAGGCACCACCAUUGGCGCCUCCCAAAUAGGCACCACCAUUGGCGCCUUCCAGAUAGGCGCCAAUACUAUGUAUUAUACGGGUUAUAUACUAACCCGGAAAAGUAUAAAUUAUAUUUUAAUCAAAAAAAUUAUUAUUAUUAUUUUAUUCAUUGGCGCCUACCAAAUAGGCUCCAAUGAAAAAGUAACCUAUUUUGGUAAAAAAAUUUUCUGACAUACUAUUUCACUAAAUUUUUUUUUCUAUCCUAAUUAGGUAAAAAACCCAACUCCCUCAUAAGUUUAAGAUGCCAGAAUUCGAGAAGUACAAUGGGACGACUUGCCCAGAGGCUCAUAUCACCAUGUUCUGCAGGCGAAUGGCUGGAUACAUUAACAAUGACCAGCUAUUAAUACACUGUUUCCAAGAUAGCCUAGCAGGGGCAGCAUCUAAGUGGUACAAUCAGCUGAGCCGUACCACAAUUGGUUCAUGAAGGGACUUGGCACAAGCAUUCAUGAAACAGUAUAGUCAUGUGACAGACAUAGCUCCUGAUAGAAUUACCCUUCAAAACAUGGAGAAGAAGUCGAGCGAAAGCUUUAGGCAGUACACACAAAGUUGGAGGGAAGUCGUAGUCCAAGUUCAACCACCGCUCUUAGAGAAAGAAAUGACGAUGCUUUUUAUAAAUACAUUGAAAGCCCCGUUCAUCACACAUAUGUUAGGAAGUGCCACAAAAAGCUUUUCUGACAUAGUCAUGAAUGGUGAAAUGAUUGAAAGCGUCAUAAGGAGCGGGAAAAUUGAUGCAGAGGAGAGUAACAAGAGGUCAAUCUCAAGGAAAGAGAAAAUGAGGUGAACAACACGAGUUACUCUAAACCAGUUAUUGUGAGUCAGCCAAGAAAGGUGGCUACUAACCAACAAAGUUUAUUAAGACAAUAAUCUAGAGUGAAACCAGGUACUGAGAAGCUCCAAUUCACACCAAUUCCGAUGUCAUAUAAGGAUCUGUAUCAAAGCUUGUUUGAUGCGCAUGUUGUUGCUCCUCAUUACUUAAAACCUCCACAACCUCCGUAUCCUAAGUGGUAUGAUGCGAACGCGCAAUGUGACUACCACGCGAGAAUUAUGGGGAACUCAAUAGAGAAUUGCAUUACCUUCAAAAAGCUAGUUGAAAAAUUCAUCAACAUGGGUAUUGUCAAGUUGGGUGACUCAUCAACUGCAGAAAAUCCUUUACCCAAUCAUGAUUGAGGAUGGAGGGACUGCAAUGUAUGAAGAGGUGGUGAGGUUUUCAUAUCGAUGCCAUAUAUGCAGCCACAAAUAAAAAGGUCCUUGUUAGAUAUUCGCCUGGGAGGUGUUAUAAGUAAUGGGACUGCAGAGGAAACCCCUAUAUUAUUUAGAGUUUGUUAGAGUAAUGUUCAGAACACACUUGUUGCUUUUAGCCUAGAAGCAAUAAGAACUUCUUUGUGAAAUAGGCUCAUGUCUGAACAUUAUUAUUUUAAUAAAAUACAUCAGUGCAAUCAUCUUUGAGCAAAUGUUCUUUCAUUCUUUACGAUUCUUUCAUUCUUUUGGAUUUUCUGCCAAACUAUUCUUUCAUUCAUUCAUAAUCAUAUUAUCUAUAAAUCCAUACAUUCUUUGUGUAUUCUUUAACACCUACAAUAGGUCCCUGGAUAUCAAUGACAUGAGUGACGCUGCUACAGACUCAAAAUCUCCUUUUUGAGUGAGCCAUGUGUUUAGAGAGAUCUCACAACUUUGAAGAGGACAUGGAUUGUAGCUUAUCUCCAGACUUGAUGAGGAUGGUAAAAUAAGAGGAUAGACAAAUCCAACCUCACAAAGAAUCAUUAAAAGUUGUGAGCUUGGUAUAGAUUGGAAUUGACAUGACCGAAAAAACAAAGCAAUACGUUGUUGGGUUACUUCAAGCAUUCAAAGAUGCCUUCGCAUGGUCAUACUAGGAUGUGCCCGGUUUAAGUGUUGUCACUGCAAUCUAAACAACAGCACGAUACCAAAAUUUUACAGUAUGGUCAAGGUGAAUAUCAUGAAUGGUGCAAUGAAAACUCUACCAGGGCAAUGCCACUUUUUUCAGUUUAUCACAUUUUUUUCAUUGAAGUUGAAAUUCUUUCUCUUCGAGUUUUGGCUAAGCUGAAGUAGGAUGAAGAUCCAAUCCCGAUACAAUUAGUUGAACCUAGUUGAAGAAAAAGGCUAGAAACUAUUCAUCAGGGGCAGAUGUACCAAGAAAUGAAUGAUGCGAGCCUAUAGCAAAAGGUUUGUCCCAGAGAAUUCCACGAUGGCGACCUAAUGCUGAAGAAGAUCCUCACUCUACAAAAAAUAUAACGGAUGCCAAAUUGGGAAGAACCUUAUGUUAUAGAGAAGGUCAUUUCCAGAGGAGCUUUGAUUUUGAGGGAGAUGGAUGAUAAACCUGCAAAGUCCUGUAAACUCAGGUUCAGUCAGGAAAUACUCAGCUUAAAGAAUGAGAUGACCAAGGUAAAAACCCGUAAAUGGCACUUUGAGUUGUAAAAAAUGACGAGAUGGAAAAUGAAAAAGUGAAAAUGAAAUUUGAAAAUGGAAAAGUAAAAUGGAGAGGCUAAGGUGAAAAUCCGCAAAGGGCGCCUUAGACCAAAGGGGAUUUGAGUUGAAAACCCGAAAAGGGCGGCUCAAAUAUUGAUCAGAAUGUGGCAUGAGAUUAUCAGAGUAGCUCAAAUACUAAUCAGCAUGGGGCAUGCAGUGGUCUUGCUAUACCUGAAUCAGCAGGAAAGGGUAGGCGACAUCUUGGGGCAUCAACAAAGUACUGUAGAUCUCCUAAACACAUGUUAAACUCAGAAUGGUCUUCAGAAAGUUUGUACAGAGAAGUUCAAGCUGAGAUAUCUGGGGCGCCUAAUCCUUAUACUCUUUCUUGUUAUUCUUGGAACACUUCAUUCAUUUCCAAGAUAUGCAUUCCUAAAUCAAUUUCUUUAUUAUCCAUCUUUACUAUCUUUGAUAUUUUAUUCAUUUCGAGCUAUGCUCAGAACCAACUUUCUUCUUAUCCAUGAUCUUUUUGCAAGUAUGUUGCAUUAGAAUAAUGAUUAAUAGACUAAUAAAAUUUUCACAAGGGAAGUUAUGCUUAUUACUCUAGAAUUUUUUAAAUAAUAUAGGAACCUCAAACAGGACUAUUGUUUAGAACGCACCAGGUUGGAAAUCCGAUAAAGAAGAGUCUAAAUUAAGACUAUCCCUUUGAAUUUUCUUGUCUAAAGUAUUAAUUAAACAAAAUGGCAAGAUGUCGUGUUGGUGUCAAAGCUUCAAUGAACAAGCAAGCAAUGAUCACCGAAUAAUAAGAAGAAGUUGUUCUUGGACAAGAUUUAUUCAUUUGUGUAUGAGCAUUUCGUACAACACCUUGGGAAUGGUGUAAGAGACCAAAAAGUUUCACAUCCUGUAUCCUUGAAUUGUGAUAACAAAGGAUUGAGAAAAGGCCAAAUCUUUUACUCUUGGGUUACAACGGGAAAAGAUGAUACAAAUUUUGCAUCCCAGUGGAUCAAACUUGGAGGUUUACAGUGGGGGCAAUCUGGUCAAGUGCUUAUUGGGAUCGCCAGUUGAGCAUAAAGGCGCUAUAGUACAUUAAGUGAUAAGACCUUAAUAAACUUGGAGUAAUGAUAACUCAGGCGUUAAAAUAUCAUUUUCAUGACAUUCUACAUUCAUUCAAAUGUCAUUCAUACAUGUCUAGUUAGGAGCAUUUGAUUCAUUUUGAUCAUGCCAUCCUAAUCAUUAGGCAUAAUUAGGUUCAUUAUACAGGUUCUGUUCUCCAGAGAACAGAUCAGCGAAAAUAGCAGAUCUUGCCUUCCUGCAUUGACAGCGAAGCAGAUCGAAGAUACCAGCCUUGCCUCCCUCGAUUGCAGUGGAGCAGGUUGAUGGUGGAUUUUACCUCCCUGAGGUUACAGUGGAGUACAUUGAAACCAGUAAUUCUAUCUCCCUGGGCAAUAGUGGAAUAGAUCAAAGAUUACAGGUCUUAUCUCCCUAAGCAGUAGUGGAGCAGAUCAAAGAUGGUGGAUUUUACCUCCCUGAGGUUACAAUGGAGUACAUUGAAACCAGUAAUUCUAUCUCCCUGGGCAGCAGUGGAAUAGAUCGAAGAUUACAGGUCUUAUCUCCCUAAGCAGUAGUGGAGCAGAUCAAAGAUGGUGGAUUUUACCUCCCUGAGGUUAUAGUGGAGUACAUUGAAACCAGUAAUUCUAUCUCUCUGGGCAACAGUGGAAUAGAUUGAAGAUUACAGAUCUUAUCUCCCUAAGCAAUAGUGGAGCAGAUCAAAGCUGGCAAAAUCUACCUCCCUGAGGUUGCAGUGGAGUAUAUUGAAGCCAGUAAUUCUAUCUCCCUGGUCGGCGGUGGAAUCAAUUGAAGAAAUCAGAUCUUGUCUUCAUGUAUUGGCGUGAAGUAGAUCAAAGAUAGCAGAUCUUGUCUCCCCAUACUAGUGGCAAAGUAGAUCGAAGAAAGUAGAUCUUGUCUUCAUGUAUUACCGUGAAGUAGAUCGAAGAUAGCAGAUCUUAUCUUCCUAUACUGGUGGCGAAGUAGAUCGAAGAAAGCAGAUCUUGUCUUCAUGCACUGGCGUGAAGUAGAUCAAAGAUAGCAGAUUUUGUCUUCCCAUACUGGUGGCGAAGUAGAUUGAAGAAAGCAGAUCUUGUCUUCAUGUAUUGGCGUGAAGUAGAUCAAAGAAAGCAGAUCUUGUCUUCAUGUACUAGCGUGAAGUAGAUCAAAGAAAGCAGAUCUUGUCUUCAUGUACUGGCGUGAAGUAGAUCAAAGAUAGCAGAUCUUGUCUUCCCAUACUGGUGGCGAAGUAGAUCGAAGAAAGCAGAUCUUGUCUUCAUGUACUGGCGUGAAGUAGAUCAAAGAUAGCAGAUCUUGUCUUCCCAUACUAGUGGCGAAGUAGAUUGAAGAAAGCAGAUCUUGUCUUCAUGUAUUGGCGUGAAGUAGAUCAAAGAUAGCAGAUCUUGUCUUCCCAUACUGGUGGCGAAGUAGAUCGAAGAAAGCAGAUCUUGUCUUCCCAUACUGGUGGCGAAGUAGAUCGAAGAUACAAGUCUUAUCUCCCUGAAGUUGCAGUGGAGUAGACAGAAGAAAAUAAUCCUAUCUCCCUGAAGUUGCAGUGGAGCGGAUUAAAACCAUAGAUCUUAUCUCCCUGAAGUUACAGUGGAGUAGACAGAAGAAAAUAAUCCUAUCUCCCUGAAGUUGCAGUGGAGCAGAUUAAAACCAUAGAUCUUAUCUCCCUGAGUUGCAGUGGAGUAGACAGAAGAAAAUAAUCCUAUCUCCCUGAAGUUGCAGUGGAACAGAUUAAAACCACAGAUCUUAUCUCUCUGAAGUUGCAGUAGAGCAGAUCGCAUCAGAUUUAUCUUUAAGUUGUAGCAGAACAAGUUGAAGCUCUAAGUCUUAUCUCCCUGAAGUUGUAGUGGAGCAGAUUAAAGAUAGCAAAUUUUGUUCUUUUGAGAAGCUACAACGUAUGAAUUCUAUCUCCCCGAUAUUGCAGUAGAGUAGAUUGAAGCACCAGUUCCUAUACCUCUGAAGAUGCAGCAGGAAGGAUUGAGGCUACUUGAAAAAGAAAAGCACCGAAGAAGCCGAGGCUUAGUAAGACUGGGUACAAUUGGGCUUUUCAGUCUUUGCUCUGUUCUCGUUACACGACAACAAGCAAAAAGGGGCAACUGUAAUAAGCCAAAUUUACCCGGGCCCUUACAAAACAAAAAAUAAGCAGUCCAAGUUUUUACAGGCCCAAACCCCAACAGCCCACUAACUAAAUUCCAACAGCAACCCUAGCAGCAUACAACCUUCAACCCUACCCGCCGCACAUCAGCCCCGCACCACCACCCUUUGCGCACGUACGUGUCCCACGUACAUCUCCAGUUGGCCGAAUCUGCGCAGCAAACGGCAAAACAGACGCAAAGAACAAGUAAACGGAAGAGAAAAACACAAAAAAAAAGAGAGAAUAACAAAAAUACAACUGUGUUGUGUUAUUUCUUUGAUUUUUCUUCAUCUUUCGACUAUAAAAAGUCGAGGAAAAUUUGUAAAAAGGAGGGGGAUUUCACGAAUCAAAUAAAAAACAGAAAAGAAAUUGAUAUCAAGAAGAGAUUUUAGAUUGAAGGUAGAUAUUUGUUUUUUUUUUCUCUUUUUUUGUUUUGACUUUUUUUAAAAAAAAUAGUAAGUAAUAAGAAAAAGAAAGGAAAGGGCUUACCGGAGGUCCGUGGUCUUCUCAUUGGCCAAAGAUCGCCGUCCUUGGCGGAGCAGUGGCGAAGGAGCGGCAGCACGACGACAUAAAGAUGCUAGGGUCAAAACCCUAGCAGAGCAAAAGGGGGCAACAGUUUUUUUUUUUUGUUGUUUUAGAAAGUGGGCUGUCAAAUGAUUUUUAAAACAGAAAAUUUUGUUUAAAUAAUAAGGCAAUACGGCGCCAUUUCAUUAGGCCCCCUGGACGCCCAAAACGGCGUCGUUUUGGGGGCCAACCCGUGCACCGACCCGAUCUGGUCCCAAAUCCGCGUGUUUUGUAGCAUGGGGGAAUUUGCGCAAUUGGUCCCCCUAUUUUUGCAGUGUGUUUAAAUUAAAUUUCUGAUUUCUUUUAAAUUUCACUGCACAUUCUAUUUUUACUUUAAAUCAGUCCCUAUUACUGUGCAGCGUUUUAGGGAGGCGGAUUAUUUCUCUUUUGGUCCUCCACCCUUGCGCGCGCAUUCAAUGUGAUCCUGUUUUCAAAUUUACUUCGAAUUUAGUUUUUUUUAAGUUCAAUUUAACCCUUUUAUUAACUAUUUUAUUCAUUUUUUUUAUAAUUAUGUUAUAUUAUUAUUAUUAUUAUUAUUAUUAUUAUUAUUAUUAUUAUCAUCAUCAUCAUUAUUAUUAUUAUUCCUACUAUAUAUAUAUACGCAUGUUUUAAAAUAAUACAUAUACAUACAUUUUUUUUAAAAAGCUUUUAAUACAUACAUAUAUUUUUGCAUAUACAAACAUUUUUUUUUACUUUUGUAAAUAUGAAUAUACGUAUUUUUUAUAUUAUCCUUCAUAGAUUUUUUUACAAACGUAUGUAUAUAUGUAUACCUACAUAUUUUAAUACAUAUUUUAAUACAUUCAUUUUCUAUAGUAUAAAUAUAUAUGUUUUUUGUUUUAAAUUAUUAUAAACAUUUUAUUAUUUUAUAUAUGCUCCAUUAUUUUAUAUACAUAUUGCACAUAUUUUUUUUAUAUUUUUACUUUAUUUACACAAUUCUCAUAUACAUAUAUACAUGCAUUUUUAGAAAUUAUUAUAAGUUUUUAUGUAUUUCAUUCCCUUUUUAUAUGUAUACUUAUAUAUGUGUUUUAUAUAUGCAUUAACAUUUUAUCAUAUUUUUAAAGAAAAUAUAUUUUGGUUUCGUCAAAGCAUUAAAAUCGUUUUAUUUUUUUAAAAUUUUUUUUAAAUAUUUGGCAAUUAUGAUUCUCGAGAAAGAUCGUGUCCUAACUUACUGGAUUGCGAUUAUUUUUUUUGAUGAAUUUAGAAAACCAAGUAUUUAUUUUGCAAUAAAUUCAUGAAAUUUUCAAAUAAAAGCUUAUUCUCAAGAAUCUAAAAAUGUCGGGUCCUAACUUACUGGUCAUGACAUUUUGGCAUCUCGAAAUAAGAAUUUUCAAAAGCAAAAGGCAAUAUUCUGGUAUUUUGAAGAUUUAAAAAUAUUGUGCCCUAACUCACUGGGUGUGGUGUUUUAUUUCUUUGAAAUAAGAAUGUCUUAUUAUUUUGAUUCAUUCAUGAGAUAAAAAGUUUCCUUUUAAAAUCUUUUCAAUUUUUCAACACCAAGACAUUAACGAAUCAAUUUGGUACCGAUUUUGGGGCGUUACGAGGGUGCUAAUCCUUCCUCGUGCGUAACUGACUCCCGGACUCAUUUUCUCAAAUUUUGUAGACCAAAAUCAUUUUAAGGUGAGCCGAUCACACCUUAAUAAAGGAUCGGUGGUGACUCCAAUUUUUGUUUUUUUUUAAGUCGACAACUAAAAUUUUUGUUUACAAAAAAUGGUUUCGACAGAGCUACAAGGAUGGAUAGCUGCUAUGCGGGAGUACGUACCGUGGACUGUGAUUGAGUUAUAGACAAAACCUUAUUACGGCCUGGACGACCAGUUACAGCCAGGAAAAAGGAUUUUCCAUCGGAUGUUCUGGACGUUUGAUCCAUCUAGAGCCAAACACAUAUUUUCGACAAUGGUUGGGUACAAUAGAGCCGUGGCAAUGUGCUCAAAGUUUUGACGAGGGCUUUCGUUAUGGACAAAUGACCACAAACUUAAUGGAGGGGGUAAAUGCUGUAUUGUUGAAAACAUGUUAUCUUCCAAUUGCAUCUGUCUUCUCUACUACAUUCUACAGGUUGGCUACCUUGAUACCAAGAAUGAGUCAGCAACAAGUCGACCAGAUGGAGGCGGGACACGUGUUUGUCGAAGAUGUCAGGGAUGUAAUCAAACCGUCGGAUGGCGAUGUCCAUGAAUGUAGAAAUAUAUUCACGACGUCUGGAAACAUUUUGAGUUACUGAGACCAUCGGUCGUCGACCUAGUAUACCACCUACGUCUUAUGGAGUUGAUCUCCGAAAUAGACGGUACGAGUGUAGGAGGUUCAAAACACUUCAUUAACUAUGUGCGCAUGUCGUGGCAGCGUGUGCUAAAGUGAACCUUAAUGUUGAACAAUAUGUCGAUGAUGUGUACACGCUCGAGCGCACAUUGCGUAUCUGGGAAAAUGAGUUCCCUAUCCUACCUGACCUGUCUACGUGAGAUGUGCCUCCGAAGACUUUUGAGCUUUUCCCAGACAAAGGGCUACGCAAUAAUUCAAGAGGUCGUCAGCAAUCAACUAGAAUCCGUAAUGAAAUGGACAUUAGGGAGAAAUUCGACGGUAAGUAUUGUGGAUUAUGCAGGUUAAGUGGUCAUAGUCGGAAUAAAUGCCCUCAGCGAAACUAUCAUGUCUGACAGUCAUCAGGAUCGGGUCGAAAUUGACCUAAUGCUGUCAAAUUGUUAUGUGUAAUGUUGUAAAAAGUAUAAUUCAUUUGGAAUAAUUAAAAUUAUUCAGCUUAUGCUUAUGCUUAAAUUGCAUCCAAAUUAAGGUAUUAAAAACAUGAUUCAUUUGGAAUAAUUAAAAUUAUUCUGCUUAUGCUUAUGCUUAAAUUGUAUCCAAAUUAAGGUAUUAAAAACAUGAUUCAUUUGGAAUAAUUAAAAUUAUUCAGCUUAUGCUUAUGCUUAAAUUGUAUCCAAAUUAAGGUAUUAAAAACAUGAUUCAUUUGGAAUAAUUAAAAUUAUUCUGCUUAUGCUUAUGCUUAAAUUGUAUCCAAAUUAAGGUAUUAAAAACAUGAUUCAUUUGGAAUAAUUAAAAUUAUUCAGCUUAUGCUUAUGCUUAAGUUGUAUCCAAAUUAAGGUAUUAAAAACAUGAUUCAUUUGGAAUAAUUAAAAUUGUAUCCAAUUUAAGUUAUAAAAGGUGCAACAAAUUAAGUAAUUAAAUUUAUACAAUAAGUACAAACUUUGUAAUGUACAAAAAUAUGCAAUAAACCCCUAAAAAUGAUGGUUCGAUGGUGUGGUCCUAGGGGUAUACCUAUGCGGAGGUCGACGGUCACGUUCUGGGUGUUGGCGACGACCAACUUCCUUAUUUGGCGCAGGUGGGGGUGUGGUAAACAUAGAGGAAAAAAUCAUGUGACUCAAUCGGCAUCAUGAACUUGAACCUGAAGGGGUCCCAUGAUGCUGUAGGUACGAGCCGAGAGUGUCGUACUGCGGCGGGUAUGAUCCAAAGAGAUCAAACUCGUUUGCGUAUUCGCCCGCUGAGAAGCUUGGAAUAUAGUCAUCGCCUGCCAAAUCCGAAUGAUAGGAUUAUGAAUCCCAUGUGAAUGUAACUGCUUAGGAUCUAGCUCAGGCUCCGGGUCGGGUUUCGGCUUGGGCUCUGGUUCGGGAUCAUGAUCUGUUGCAGGCUCUACCUCUAUCGGGGUCGCUGGGUACAAUCCCCCAGAUAGCUGCAUGUGCGGGGGGAAUACAGUCGACUGGCCUCCAAGUAUAUAUGGUUUUCCGCAACUAUAGUACCAUUGUAUGUACUCUAAUGAUGGUUGCAAUGAUUAUGUCAUAACCAUCUGAGGUUUGCGACCCAUCUGAUCGUUCCAUAGCGUAACAAAUUUUCGAUGCUUAACCCGCUAAUCCAACUACAGUUUUCCCCUCCUAUUCAUGCCGUGAACCGCCCCCACUUCGCGUGGUGGAUCCGGGAUAUAUUGGAUGUAACCAAACUGUCUGCACCCGAUCCCCGUGAUACCACUCGACUACAUUGAAAUUUAUAAUUGGUGCGUUAGUGCACCACAUUUCAAAAUGAACAUAUGCAGACGAAGGUAUCACAGCUAUAAUUUUCAGGCGACGAUAUGGCAUCCAUAUAAACUGCAUGAUUAAUAACAUGGUUAUAAUUUAACACGGUGUGAGUAAGAUAUAGAAAGUAAAUGAACUAAUAUUAGAAUAGCUUACCCCUUAUCCGGCAUGUUGUUCGAUCAUGAGUCAGUAUAUUGGGACAGUGUACGACCUCUCGAUACCCGGAUAAAUACUCCACCUACAAAAAGAAAUAUAGGGUUUAUGGUUGGUAACAUCAGUCAAUAUACUAUGACUACAAAUAAUGACAAGUUAUAUUUUAUCACCUGUUCACUAGUGGAUAAACAUACGGUUGGUGAGUAGCCGAUGCCAAAAAUAACAUCCGAUAGAGCGCCCAGGACUACAGCAAUGUAAGGCAUCUGCCCAUGUCUACAACAGAAGGUUUUGUCGUCCGAUAAAGCUCCCGAUAUAACACUGCUAGAAUGGCGAAGCCCCAGCUAUAGGAGCGGACAUUGGACAAAUCAGCUAAUAGGGGCAAGUACAUCAUAUGCACAUUGUUGUUGUUUGCAACGGGCACCAGUACUCUCCCUAGGAUAUGUAUGAUGUACGCUUGAGCAGCGCACAUCAAUUCACCUUCAGUGGCAUUUGCUGAUAACUGUCCAAAUUUGGCUUUCAGCCAUGUAAAUUUCAAGCUCGUAAAAUUUUUCUCAUCGUCAUUUGGCGAGUCUUCUAGUAGCUGAUUACAUAGUGCAGCCGGAUCAGUAAAUGAACUUACUCCCGUUAUAGGACUUGCGUCGAUUGGGAGCUCAAGCUACAGGGCAACAUCCUUUAAAGUCACCAUGCACUCCCCACACGAAAAAUGAAAAGUGUGGGUCUCUGGGCGCCACCGCUUCACUAGCGCAGAUAAUAAAUCAUACCGCAAGUCGAACGUCUGGAUCAAUACUGCUGACCCAAAUCUGACUUGCUCCAAGUAUGGCAUCAAUCGUGAAUUCGGGGGAUGCUUUAAACCAUUCACCCGGCCCCUUAUUACUCAGUACGAGUCCUGAUAGUGUUAAAUUACAGAAAAAAAUUAGGAUAACAUGAUUUAUUUCUAUAUAUUACGUAUAUCCUUUUUUAAUAGAACCCGUGAUUAACAAAUAAUAAUAUAUUACCAUCUCAUUAGCCGCAUCAGAUAUGUGUGUAUCCCUACUAAUCAAUGAAGCCAUUGCGAUGCCUGCAACUUCAAAAAAAAUUUAGUAAAAAACUCUUAUUUCGGCCCUGUGUUCGUAUUUUUUUCUGAAUUUUAUUACUUUAAAAAUUAUCAUAUUUUCUAAUUUUAUUAUUUUACAUUAUUUUAGUACAUUAUGUUUGAAAUUUAAAUAAAUUUAGUGUGUUUUUUAAAUAAAUUUAAAAAAAACCCUUAUUUGGUCAUUUGCUCGUAUUUUUUUCUCGAAUUUUUUUACUUUCAAUAAAAAUAUAUUAUUUUGGUAUUUUAUUAUUUAACUUUAUCUUAGUACAGUAUGUUUUAAAUGUAUUAAUUAAUUCUGUUUUUUUUAAAUUUAGUAAAAAAACCCUUAUUUCGGCCCUUUCUUAGUAUUUUUUACUUUAAAAAAAAUCAUAUUUUCUAAUUUUAUUAUUUUACAUUAUUUUAGUACAUUAUGCUUGAAAUUUAAAUAAAUUUAGUGUGUUUUUUAAAUAAAUUAAAAAAACCCUUAUUUCGGCCCUUUGCUUGUAUUUUUUCCCGAUUUUUAUUACUUUCAAUAAAAAUAUAUUAUUUUUGUAUUUUAUUAUUUUACUUUAUCUUAGUACAUUAUGCUUGAAAUGUAUUAAUUAUUUCUGUUUUUUUUUAAUUUAGUAAAAAACCCUUAUUUCGGCCCUUAGUUCGUAUUUUUUUCCCAAAUUUUAUUACUUUAAAAAAUAUCAUAUUUUGUAAUUUUAUUAUUUUACAUUAUUUUAGUACAUUAUGUUUGAAAUUUAAAUAAAUUUAGUGUGUUUUUAAAAUAAAUUUAAAAAAACCCUUAUUUCGGCCCUUUACUCGUAUUUUUUCCAAUUUUUAUUACUUGCAAUAAAAAUAUAUUAUUUUCGUAUUUUAUUUUUUACAUUAUUUUAGUACAUCAUGUUUGAAAUGUAUUAAUUUUUUCUUUUUUUAAAUUUAGUAAAAAACUCUUACUUCAGCCCUUUGUUCGUAUUUUUUUUCUCUGCAUUUUAUUACUUUAAAAAAUAUAAUGUUUUCUAAUUUUAUUAUUUUACAUUAUUUUAUUUCAUUAUGUUUGAAAUUUAUUAAUUUAGUGUGUUUUUUAAAUAUACAAUUUUUUGAAUUUUAUUACUUUCAGUGAAUAUACAAUUUCCUUUUUUUUCUUUUCGUAUUUUAUGUUUUCUUAAACAUGUUUUUUUAUAAUUUUUUUAAUGUUAGUUUCCUAAAAAAAUAAUUACAACAUCCUAAAUUAAUUUCAUAAAAAAAAUUUUAAUCAACAUAGAAUGUACAUAACAUGAAUUUUUUCAUGCUAAAUAAAUUUCAUAAAAUAUAUAUACUAAAUAAAAUAAUAAAACACAUACAAUAUACAUAACAUAAAUUUUUUACACAAAUAUUACAAAAAAAAUUAAAUUAAUACAAAAAAAUUACCUUUACUUCUUUUUUUCCUUUCUUUUUCCUUCCUUCCCUUUUCUUCUUCUCCUUUUUUUUUCUCUUUCUUCUCCUUCCUUUUCUUUCUUUCUUUCCUCUCCUUUCCUUCUCCUUUUCUUCUCCACCCACCGGGCUGAAUGGUCCCCCCAUUAUAAGGGAAGUGGUGCCGCCUGUGGUAGUGGCACCAUCGGUGCCGCCUCUGCCAUUGGCACCAAUGGUGCCGCCUAUGGCAGCCCCUUCACCAGGGUGCUAUCACAUCCCUGUAGCUUUUUUUUAAAACUUUUUUUUGUAUUAUUUUGAUAAAUAAAAAAAGUUAAUAUUAUUUUAAUAUUUUUUUAUUUUAUUUUUAAUAUUUUAGUAAAAUACCCCAUGUUGCUUAUCCAACCUACUCUGACGUAUGACGCACCCAUUGCGUCACUGCAAACGCAAUUUUGGUCCUUCUACAUGCUAUAAUAAAGGGGGCAAUGGUUCUGGUUUAGACAAGAAAACUGAAUGCGUUGAUGAAGCUUCUAAUUCUUGCUCCAUGUUGUUUGUUCUUCAUAGCUUUAAUAAAAUUACUUUAUGAUUACCUAUGGAUACCUCUCCGUAUUCAGCAUAUGCUGAAUUCACAGGGGAUCAAAGGACCUCCUUACAGAUUCAUCCAUGGCAACAACAAGGAAGUUACCAAAAUGAAACAAAAAGCUUUAAGUAAAUCUGUGGGCUUGACGGAUGAUUUAUUUCCCAAAGUACAGCCACAUGUUUACACCUGGACCAACAGAUAUGGUAAGAUCCAUGCUUGUUUUUUUCACUAUGAUUUAUAACUUGUAGUUCUAAGAAAAGGUAGACCCUUUUUCUUUUCACGUUAUUAGGGAAGAAUUUUGUUUAUUGGAACGGUGCUCGAGCUGAAUUGGUGAUUUCAGAGCCUGAAUUAAUCAAAGAGGUUCUGAAAAAUAGUGAACAAAUUUUUCAGAAAAAGGAACUUUCAGAUAUUGGUAGAAAGUUCUUGGGGAAUGGUCUUAUAUUCAUUGAGGGGGAAAAAUGGGCAAAGCAUCGAAAGCUGGCCAAUCACACUUUCCAUGGGGAAAGUCUAAAGGUAAGGCUUCCAAAUAUAUAAACCAGGUGUAAUUAAUUUACAAGAAUUAUACAUAGACUACAAUAUUUUGGUAAAAUUUUGUAUUGUUAGCUAAAGAUAAGUUUAUUAUGGACGUUGAAAAAGUGUAGUAAAAACAUACUUUCGAAAAUUUUAACACCAUUUACUACUUAGGAGGUCAAUUUUAAACUUGAUGCUGCAAAAUAAAAGAUUGAAUCAGAGAUUUAAAAAAAGUAAUUUCAUUAAAAAGCACUCUUUUAGCUUUUAGACUUGGAUUAAAAUCUAGUUUGAAAUAAGAUUUAAUUUGAAAAGGUGUUUAUUUGUCAAAUUUUUUAAUUUGAAAUCAUGAUUUUGUGUUGAAAAGUGUUUUCCAGACUCCAAUUAUAUAUGUCACUACUACUUACAUAUUGGAGGAUUGUUUGGGCAGAACAUGACUCCAGCAAUAAUUGCUAGUGUUGAAACAAUGCUAGAAAAGUGGAAAGGCCAAGAAGGCAAAGAGAUUGAAGUGUACCAAGAAUUUAGGUUAUUAACUUCAGAAGUGAUUUCCAGAACAGCAUUUGGUAGCAAUUACAUGGAAGGGGAGAAGAUAUUUGCCAUCUUGAGAAAGUUGACAGUAAUUAUGAGUCGAAAUCUUUCCAAGACUAGAAUUCCUUUGAUCAGGUAUCUUCCCUCUAAGCUUAAUUAAUCCCAACUUUUUCCUUGAUUUCAUGUAGCUUUUGAAUGCAACUUUUAGACUUUCAUUCCCCAUGGAUUUGGUUUUCUCAUAUAUAGCUGACCCUGGUUUGCUUUUGCAGCAAGUUGUGGAAAUCUGCUGAUUUGCUAGAGUCUGAAAAACUUUCAAAAGAAAUAAAAGAUCGUGUGAUGAAGAUUGUUAAGAAAAGAGAAGACAAAGUUGUGAAUGGAGAAGUCAAUAGCUUCCGCAGUGAUUUUCUUGGAUUACUUCUAAAUGCCUAUCAUGAUUCGGAUGCGAAAAACAGGCUUUCAUUGGAAGACGUGGUAGCUGAAUGCAAAACAUUCUAUUUUGCUGGACAAGAAACUGUUAAUUCCUUACUUGCAUGGAUAGUCUUGCAUUUGGCAAUCCAUGGAGAUUGGCAAGAAAAAGCGAGAAGAGAGGUGGUUGACAUAUUUGGUAACCAAAAUCCACAUCUCGAAGGCAUCGCCAAACUCAAAAUAGUAAGAAAACUAUCUAACUGGGAAUUCAAAUAGCCAUCGACAUGAUGUAAUCUGACAUAUUUUUCUAUUUUCCAAACAGAUGACUAUGAUCAUCAAUGAAACUCUAAGAUUGUAUGGUCCAACAAGUGUCCUCCAAAGAACAGGUACAAGAGAAAUUCAGUUGGGAAAGCUACUCUUGCCCGCUAAUAUAGAUAUUCUGCCUUUAAAUAUUGGACUUCACCGGGACCCUCACUUUUGGGGAAAUGAUGUGCAUCAUUUUAAACCUGAGAGAUUCGCUGAAGGGAUUGCCAAAGCUACCAAUUACACCGCGGCUGCCUUUUUCCCCUUCGGAUUAGGACCUCGAUCUUGUGUUGGUAUGACAUUUGCAAUGAUAGAAACCAAGAUUGCUCUCUCCAUGGUUCUACAACGCUACACCAUUACCCUUUCCCCUGCCUAUGUCCACUCUCCAAUACUUAUUCUUACCCUUCAACCCCAAAAUGGAAUUCAAGUAAUACUUGAGCCGAUACAUAGUAAUGCAUGAAGUACAUAGCCGUUAAGAACUAGAGGUUUAACAUGGUUCGUGAAUUCUACUUUUAAG